rnacentral:lncRNA from 1 species
GACUUUGAUCACUGAAUUGAGGUGUUGCCAAUUGAACUUCAUUGGUACUGGUAGAAUAUGGCAGAUGAGAAGAAACAAAACCUGGAAAACAAAUCUGUGUUGUCUCAACCUCUACCCGAGAGGAAGAAAAACAACUUACCAAACUUCUUUUUAUCUGUUCAGCUCAAAUAUGUGAAACUUGGUUACCACUACUUGGUUUCCAAUGCCACGUACCUCAUGCUCAUGCCAGUACUUUGCGUGAUUUUUGCUCAUCUUUCAACAUUCACAGUUGAUGAGCUUUGGAAUCAACUCAAAUUCAAUUUAGUGACAGUAGUUCUUUCACUACUAAAAAAAAAAAGGGUAUUAGCAUCUGAAUUUAGCAACGGAUAAUUCCGUUGCUAAAUUCAGUAACGGAUUUGCAACGAAUUACAUAUAUAUUAUUUUUUUAAUAUCAGCAACGGACUUUAGCAACGGAUAAUCCGUUGCAAAAUUUACGUUGAAUUUAGCAACGGAUUUUCCGUUGCUAAUUAAAAAAAUAAUUAUUUAAAUUUUAAUAUAAAACCAAAAUUACGAACACCGUUGAUUACAUUUACAAGGAUUAAAUCUCAACCGUUUAUUUUUCGCUGGCUUUGGUAAAUCUACACUAUGCUCCCACAUACCCUGCCAACGUGAUAAAUAAAAGAGAGGGACACCAUGCCCUGCAAACAGCCGGCCACCUUACCUUGCACAGGUAAGGCAGCCCGUUUCCCCCCUGCACCACGAUGGGACAGAGCAGGGGGGGCUCCUUCUUUUCCUGCUUAUAAAUAGAGGAAGAGAGACGAAGAGAAAGGGGUGGCAAAAUUUUGGAGAAGGAACAGAGGACGAAUGUGAGAGAGGAGGAGGCAGAAGAGAAAACAGAGGGGAGAGUUUAUUUGAGAGGAGAGGAGCUCGGGCAAAACAGAAGAAAAAGGAAGAAAAGGGGGAAAGGAGAGUGAAAGAGCAAGACCGAAGAAGAAGGAGAAGAGCCACCGUUGCACCUCCACCAGCGCCUCCAUCGCUCCUCCCAGCCACCAACGAUAGCACCAUCAUCGUCCAAAAAUAGAGGAAGAGCAGUGACAGAGAGUGAAGCGAGACGAGAGAAGGGAGAAAGGAAUAGAAAACAGAGACUGCGGUCUCUGCACAGAGAAGAAGAAGAACCGUCCUCACCCUCUGGGCACCACCGCUGUGCUUCCUCUCCAUCGCCACAACAGCACCGUCAUCCUGCCACUAUCAACGCUGCCAACGCCAGCAGAACCAGAGAGGGAGAAGAGAAACAGGGCAGAACAGAGAGGGAAGAAAAAACAGAGACCGCGGGCUCUGCACAAAGGAGGAGAAGAAAAGACAACCGCGCCACCACCUGGAAUCAUCGUCAUUUCUCCUCCCAGACGCUGCCCCGACCACCUUCCACUACCGCCAGACCAUAAACGGGGAAGAAUAGAACAAACGAGGGGGAGGGGCAGAGAAAGCAGAAGGCAGCAAGAAGAAGAAAAAAAAACUGUAACAGCAGCCGCCGCCUACACCACCACCCCUGCCGCAUCCGCUGCCGCCAGUGUCGCCACCGCUCCAGGUAACUUUCUCCCCUCCCCUGUCGUUUUUCGCUUCAGCUUCAUUUGCAUGCAAAACGUUUACGUUCUGCAGCAAAUGAAGAUUAAUUAGCCAGUUACUGUGCUGUGCACAGUAACUAGCUAAUUAUAUUUUGCUGGUUACUGUGCGCAGCACAAUAACCAGCCCCUUUUAUUUGUUACGGGCUGGCACAUCAGCCCAGCCCACGCGGCUGGGCUGAGUCCAGCCCACAGUAUAUGGGUCGGGUCAGGCCCAGCCCAGGAUGGUUGGGCCAGAUCCGGCCCAGUUUUUUUAUUUUAUUUUUUUGGUUAAAAGAAAAAUUCAAAAAUAUUUGUUUGUAAUUUUACAAGUUUCCCGCGUAUUUUUUAUGUCAUUUUGAUUAAUAUCAAGCAAUAUUUUUUUAUAUUGCUAAAAAUACAAAAUCCGAUAUUAAAAUACCUGGUUUUCGUCAAAACUUUCAAAAAAAAAAAACUUGUUUUGAAAAAAAGAAAAAUAUUUUUGUGCAUACGACCAAGUCUCACAAAGAAUAAAAUUACAUCAUAUUUUCAUACAACAAAGAAAACUUCAAAAAAAAAUGUGUUUUAGCAUGCAUUUUGGCUUUAAUAACCAGUUUAUUAAAGUCACGAGAACUUUGCCAAUAUUUCAAAAAUUCCAAAAAAAAUUAUUUUGUUUUCUUAAUAUCAGGGAUUAUGAAUUUAUACGUAAAACGUACUCCCGAUAUUAAAAAGGUAGUUUUCUUUUAUAGUCAUUAGAACGGUUAGGCUUUGCCCCAUAAGAUAAGAACCUCCUUACUGAGGAGGGCUUUUCUUGAAUCAUAGACGGACCAACAAUUAAAAAACAUGACAAGACCUUAGAUUUUUAUCAGACAAUAAAACAAUGCAGCUUAUCUUAGGUAGGACGUAUUUGGGGUGUUAAUACCUUCGCUUUACGCAACCAGUCUUCGUACCCGAUCUCUGAGAUCAGUUAGGGUUCUUAGUGACCAGAAUACUAGGUGGCGACUCCCAUUCCAUUUUUCCAAUGAUAAGAGACAAGAAUUCCUUGUCUCCCCAUAUUUUCUAGACACACACCCAUUGAGUGUGAAGGACGAUCGCCGCGACGCCGCACACGUGCGACAGGCUCCACAUGUAAACAAUCACCAUAAAAUUAUAAUUAUUAUACUCGAUUCAAAAACUAAACUAAAAAGGAUAUGAGGUAUUUAGUUACUAGACUAACUUGUGGAUCAUCAUAUCAAUUCAGUGGAUCAAUGACAUGCAAUAUUAAAAAUAAUUCAUUGUGUUGAAUAUAAUCAUGCUUUAAUUUCAACAAAUUUUUAAUUUAAUUUCAAUAUAUUUUUAAUUAAUUUUAAAAUUAAAUAAUAAUUUAAAAACUUAAGAGUUUGAACUAACAUAUAUAAAUCACGAUGAAAUUUCAACCUCUCUAUAACUCCUACAUAAUGUCGCACGUGUGCGGCGUCGCGGUGAAAACAUCCACCCUCAAAAUCUUAACUAAUGUAGAAAAUAUGGCGAGACAAGGAAUUCUUGUCUUUUAUUAGUGGAAAAAUGGAAUGGGAGUCGCCACCUAAUAUUUUGGUCACUAGGAACCCUAACUGGUCUCAGAGAUCUGGUACGGGGACUGGUUGCGUAAAGGAAAGGUGUUAGCACCCCAAAUACGCCCUACCUAAGGUAAGCUGCAUUGUUUUAUUGUCUGAUAAAAUUUAAAGUUUUGUUGUGUUUUUUUGUUGUUAGUCCGUCUAUGGUUUAAGAAAAAGUUCUCUUCGGUAAAGAAAUCUUUAUCUUAUUGGGUAAAACCUAACCGUUCUAAUGUCAACAAAUAAUUUAAUAUCCGGAAUACAUCUUACAUAUAAGGUCGUAAUCCUAGAUAUUAAAAGAAAACAAAAUAUUUUUUUGGAAUUUUUGAAAUAUUAGCCAGUUCUCGUGACUUUAAUAAACUAGUUAUUAAAGCCAAAAUACGUGAUAAAACUUUUUUUAUAUAUAUAUGAAGAGACAAUAUGAUUUUUUUUAUUAUUAUAUAUUUUUUAGAGAGACUUGGCCGUAUGCAUGAAAACAAAACAUUUUUUUUUUACAAAAACCAGGUAUUUAAUACCGGAUUUGUAUCUUUACAGUAUAAAAAUACAAACCAAUAUUGAUCAAAAUGCAGUAAAAUAUUUGCAGAAAAUCACAGAUUUUUGAAAAGAAUUUUUUGAUUUUUUUUUAUUUUUCGGGCUGGGCCCAACCCGGCCCAUGUGGUUGGGCUGGACCCAGCCCACCUGUGUGGCUGGGCUGGACUCAGCCAGCCCAGCCUGGUCACUGGCCCAAAGCCAGUGACCCAAUUAUGCCAUGCAAGCAUAAAAAUUUACACGUGCAUGAAAUUACCUUCGCACUGUUCAUCUCCUUCUUGCCAAUUAACCCAAAACGCAGGCAACACUUUUUAUCACAGAGACUGUGGAAGGAAGUAAAACAUGCCGGGUGCUGGAGAGAUGAAGAAGAUGGUGGUGCUGAUCUCUUCUGCUAUCUGCGUUGCUAUGCGUUCCUCUGUUUUUUGUUCAACUCACGUCUCUCCCUCUUUCCCUCUUUCUUUCUUUUCCCGUCUGCUCUCCUCUAUCCUCCUCCUUCUGCUCUCUUCUCUUGCUGCCUUUUUUACUUUCUUAUGCUCUUCCUUCCUCUGUUUCUCUCUUCCUUACAUUCCCCUCUCCCUCUGUUUUUUUUUCUAUUCUCUGUCGCGUCCUCUCCCUCUGCCUCUCUCUUCUUUACACUCUCUUCUCUCUGUUUUUUUUUUCUGUCUCGUUGACUUCUUCCUUUUCUCCCUUUCUGUCCCGUUCUUUCCUCCUGUUUUCUCUUCUUCUCCUCUCUCCCCUCUCUCCCCUUUUCAGUGCAGUACAUCCUCUGCUUUUAUAGCCAGAGGAUGAAAGCGUUUUCCCUUUGAUGUUGCAGGGAUGGAGUAACGGUCGGCGUGCAUCAUGGUAGCCGUGAAGCAUGCCCCCUUGAUUGAAGCAAAUCGCGCCUUCGCCGCUGCAAACGUUUCUCGGCCAGCUCCCGUAACAUAAAGAAGACAGUAAACAGUGUUGAAUAAAACGGCACCGUUUUGCAACUUUAAAUGAUAUUUCCUAUUUGGUCCUUGGAUGUUAAUGCAAUUUUGUAAUCAAGCCCCCGGAUGAAUUGUAAUUGGAUCCCUUGAUCUUAGCGCUUUUCUGGUUUGGUCCUUGGUUUCGGAUUGUUUCAAUUAAGUCCCUAAUUGGCCAUCAAAAUUCAAUAAUUAUGCAAUUAAGCCCCUAAUUUGACCAAAUCAACUCUUUAAAAUUAUAAUUGGACCCUAGAACUUUAAUUUCUUCCAAUAAAAGUCUAAAUUGACUUAAAAAAUCAAUUUUCUUGCAAUCAAACUCUCCAUAAAUUCAAUUAAACCUUGGAUAAAAUUUAAUUGAGUCCAUAAACAUCUUAUUUUGGACUUUGCUUUCUCAAAUUGAAUUUUCCUUGUCCCCAGGGCUCUCAUCAGUCAAAAAUAUAUUGUCAAAAUUUCAAUUCUUGAAUUUUCCUUGUCCUCAAUCAAUUUAUGUCAUUUUUUCAGCAUUUCAGCAUCAUUUUCUCACUCCUAUUAUUUUUUGAUUUCCUUCGAAUAUUUUUGUGAUAUGUAUAUUUUUUGUAUUUUUUUCAUUUUUUGUGGGGAACCCAAAAAUGGGUAACAACACAUAAUAUCUUAAAAUCAAUUAUAUUGUAAUUUUCACAUUUUUAAUUAUUCCUAAAUGAUAAAAAAAUUAACUGGCUAAAAAAAUGCUAACUAGUCUAUUGACCCGCGUUCUGUCUUUGUCAGAUUAAUUUUUUUAAAAUGUAAAAAAGAAUGUUGAGAGCACGAAGAGUUUUUUUUAUAUAGUGUUAUUAACUCUGAUCAGAUAGGUCAAUCUUAAAACCUUUCGUCUCAGCUCUUUGCCAAACUCAAGUUUUCAAUUAAAUCGUGUGGCAGCUAGUCUGAUUUAAACAGUCAAUUUUAUGGAUCCAAAUGUAACUGGAUGGCUAAUGAAAACAUGAAUUAGCUUUUAAAAAAAUUCAAGAUAAUUUUUUUAAAAAACAAUAUCGAGACAAUGACAUAUUGGAUCAAUCCCGGUCCCCCAAUAACCCGAAUCAUGAACUUUAUUGGAUUUAAUAAUCUUUUUUUAUAAACUCUUUUUAAUUAUAUAAUAAAAAUAGAUGCUCGUAAAGUUAAACAGCAACCCUAAAAUAUAUAUUUAUUUGAUAUUAGGAUAACCCUAUAGAAAACAAACAAAAAUAAACCUUAUAGUCUAUUCCUAACCAAUCAAAUAUUGAAGGACAAAAUAAAAAAAUAAAGGAUCAAAAAUAAAAAAAGCAUAUCCAGUCUGUUAGUAAACCUGUCAAACCGGUGAAUCGGGUAACUUGAGCUAGCAUGCCAAACCAGUGAACGGGGUUAUGGACUCCACUGAGAUUAUAAUUUGCUUUUUUUUAAAAAAAUAUUUUUUAUUUAACUAUAUGAUAAUAAAAAUAGACGAUCGCAAAAUCGAAUAUUAACUCGAUACCGAGAUUUUUUUGAGACCGCAAUAACUUUAUAGAAAGCAAAUCGAAACCAAUUAUGGAAUUGAAUUCCCAAUUAACCCAAUAUCUAUAGAUGAAAUUGAAAAAAAGAGUUAAACUUUCCAAACCUGCGAACCAUGUCAACUAACCGAACCUAUGAACAGAUCCAUGAACUUUAUAAAGUUUAAUAACAUGUUUUUUUUUCGAAACUAUUUUUUUAACUAUACGAGAAAAAAAUAAACGAUAACAAACUCAAGUUGAAUUAAAAAGAAAAACACUUCGCCAAACCCAUAAACCAGGAUAACUUGGGUUACCCAAGUAAACCCGCAAACUACUUUAACCAUAUAAAAAAACAAAUUAAAAAUAAAUAAAUUAAAAGAUUCAAUUCUAAAUUAUCUCAAUAUUAAAAGAUAGAAUAGAUAAAAACAAUUUUUUUAAAAAAAAAACGAGUAAGCAAAGCGAGAGCAGAGAGAGCAUAUCAUGAAAUUUUUGCUAUAAAAAAAAUAAUAGCAAGGCUAAAAGUUUUGUAUGCUUAAAGGAAAAGUGGACGACGGACGACGUGGUUUUGUCCCACAGGUUGAAAAAAGGCUUGUGAUGAAAUCGUUUCAGCCUAGCUUAAGUUUAAUUUCCCAUUCUUCUGCUUGUCGUGCAUCUUUUAUUCCCCGAUCUAAACUCAACAGAACACUCAUUACCCAAAAAAAAAACAUACCCCUCCCCUGUCCCUUUCACUCAUAGUUUUAAGAUUUGGUCCGGGUUCCGGGUUCCAAGUUUUGACCGGGUCACCGGGUUUUGGUCGAGUCAGUUCUUGUUUUUUUAAAUCAAAACGACGUCAUUUUAGUAAAAAAAAAAAAAAACAAAAGUCAACAGGUUUGCAACCGGGUCUUGACCGGGUCUUGCUGGGUCAACCGGGUCGCCAGGUCAGCUGGGUCACACCGAGUUUUUCCUUCCCCUGUUUUUUCUUCAACCCGGCCCGGUUCCAGCCUCGGGUCGGCCGGGUCCCGGGUCGGCCCACCAGGCCGGGCCGGGUUUCAAAACUAUGCUUUCACUCGUAGGGUUAGUUCGAGUUUCUUCCCAUUCUUCUGCUUCUCGUGCAUCUUUCGUUUUGAUAUUUGACUCGCAUUUCACAACAGUUUAGAUAUUUUCUUCUCAAUAAAAAAAUGUAUAUAUAGACUUUUUCAACAUGUUUUUUAUUUAAAAAAUAAUUCUAAGUGAAAAUCAAAAUAUUUAUACAUACAUGCAAUCAAAUAAAUUGAGAAUUAUGUGUGUUAAUAAAUGAAAAAAAACCAUAAAUGAUGACUAAAAUUAAAAACUAGAAAAAUCAAGAGACAUGUGUAUAUCAAGAUAUUUAAUUUCACAAGAUUAUGACAUUUAGGCGGUUGUGUUUGCUAAAUUUGUUAAUUAAAAUAAAUUUUUUAUCCAAUCAAACGAUAAUAAAAAUAGACACACUUAUUAAAUUGUUUGAAUAAAAUAAAAGGAAAAAAAUAAUUUGCAAAGCUGUACAUAUUAGAAAUAUUAUUUGAAAAUAAUUUUUUUUAUUUUCAGAAAUAAAGUUCAUAUAUACAAUAGAUUGAAAAAAAAUAUAGAUUAAUCAGAAAAACAUCAUCAAAAAUUAAAUGCAUAAUUAAAAAAUAAUUGUCAUUUCAAAUAGGCUUUUUAAAUAACAUAAAAGAGAGAAGAGAUAUUGAUCUAAAUAUAAAUAUAAAUAAAAUUAAGAUUAAGAUUAAUUUUAAAAAAUAGAAACAAAAAGAGAAAGUAUUUUUUCUUCAACAAAAAAAAAGUAAAUAGUGUCAUCAAUAGUAAAACUUGUGGGGUGAACCUGGACUAUGAACUCAACCGGUUUUUUCCCCUUAAAUUUAUGGCAAACCUAAAAAAAAGUGAACAAUGUUGUCCAUGGUAAAACAUAAAGGGGUCAACAGUGCGGUUGCAUAGUAUUCACCUCACAUAUUUUCCCCUUAAAUUUAUAGAAAAACCUUAAAAAAAAAAACAAUGACCAGUGUCGUCCACAGUAAAACAUGAGGGGGUGAACAGUGCGUCUGCACAAUAUUAAAAAAAAAAUCUAUAUAAAAUUAAGAGAAAACCACAGAUAAAUCAUACCCACUUCUUUAAAAACUAAACACACCCGAUAUCAUUUAAAAAUAAUCACAAUUUAAUUAAAACAUAAAUCAAAAUUUAUUUGGAAAAGUAUACACAAAUAAUAUAUUAUUUUUUUUAAAAAACAGAUAUAUAUAUAUAUAUAUAUAUAUAUAUACACACACACGCUCGCCAGGCCCCACGCCUGAUCUAAUGAACCAACGGCCUGCGCUCGGGCCUGCAAUGCCAGGCCCCAGCGCAUGCCCUUUUUUAAAGUUUAAUGGGGCGGAAACAACGCGUCGUCCGCCCUAAAUAUAUAUAAAAAAAUAAUACGUUGCUCGCUCCAUUCCAGAAUCCAACCACUGUGUUGACUGGAAAAACAAGGUCCGUAGUUUUUUCACCAAAAAAUCCCAUUUCAAUCCAUUUUUUUUUACCAAAAACACCUAGAAAACACCAUAAAGACCUUGUUAAACCAAUCCAUUGCCACAUAAAAGCCAAAAAACCGUCCCAAAACCCGAAAAUCCACUUGAAACAAAAAUUCUUCCCAAGCUGAGAUAUGUUGUUUCACGUGAUUUGAACGUAAAAAGAAAUACCUAAACAUAACCCCCCCUCAUCAUAUGGAACCUUUUGACACAAAAAUCAACCAUUUUAAUGGUCGGAAUCUUCCCCAAUGACCACUUUCUCUUUCUAGACUAGAAUAUUAUGAGGACUCCCUGAACAAAAAAAGGAAAAAGGAGGAAAAUGAAGUUAGGUACCAAAAUGUAUUGUCUUGAAAUUCAAGGUCCCAGUCACUUUAUACCAAACAAAUGUUGGGGAUUAAAAUGAAUGUUUGAACAAAACUUUCAACCCGCUUCCAAUGCUACCCGAGAUUUUCACUUCAUUCCCUUAGCUUUCAAUUCAAUCCUCCUUCCUAAAAAAAUGCAAUUGAGGGCUAAUUUAGUCUCGAAAGAUCCAAAUCACGCAAAAUAAAAGUUCAAAGAUCAAAGUGAAAAUUUUUAAAACUUACACUGUUCUAAUCCACAGUAAAUUAUGAAAUAGUGCACAGUGUUUUAGCAAAUGUAAAAAGCUAAUGCCUUUUAACUUUGUACUAGUUAGGUGGCCCGCACUACGCCGCGAGCCAACUUUUUUUUGGCAUAAAAAUAUAUAUAAAAAAACUAAGACCCAAGAGCCUUGGGUCUGGCUGCAACAUUAGACCCAAGAGAGUUGGAUUUGGGUUUGGAUGCACCGCCACAUCCAAGAGUCUUGGGUGUGGCUCUAGCUAUAAUGUCAGACCCAAAAAUCUUGAGUCUGGGUCUCUCUGCAACGCCAAGCGCAAGACCGUUGGGUCUGGUUGCAACGCCGGAUUCAUGAGUAAUUUUUAUAAUAUUAAUUAUAAUAGUAAUAGUAAUACUUAUAAUACAAAUAAUAAAAUUUUUAAUAUUAUUAAUAAUAUUAAACUUGCUUGACCCAAGUUCUUGUAGUUUUUAAUCCCUUCAAAUCAAAUUUAUGGUUUUUCUUCAAUAUUAAUAAUAUUUUAUUUCAAAUUUAUUAAUGAUGAUGAUGAUAAUUAUUAUUAUUUUUAAUUUUACACUUCAAAUCAAAUCUAUAAUUGUUUUUCAAUAUUAAUAAUAUUUGUUUUUAAAUUCAUUAGUUAUCAUAUUAAUAACAUUAAUUAUAAUAAAAAUAAUAAUAUUUUUAAUACAAAUAGUAAUAAGUAGGAGCUUUCCAAAGAAAUAGCUUAGUAGCCACAUUAGCAGCGCUUGGGAUGAUUUUAGGCGCGGCCUAUUCCCUUUGGCUAUAUAAUCGUGUGGUUUCUGGAAAUUUAAAACCCGAUUUCCUCCAUAAAUUCUCCGAUUCAAAUGGCAGAGAAGUUUCCAUAUUUAUACCUUUUCUUGUUGGAGGGGCGACCGUCCGUUGAACUACCAAAGAAAAAAGGGUAAACCAAUGUGAUCAUGACCCUUCUUUUUAUUGGCAUAAUCUAAACGACAAAGUAGGAUCAGAAGGCUUACGCACCCUGGAAAUGAAAUGAGUUCGCUUCGCACCUUCCUCAGCUUUCAGGAAAGAUCCGAUGCAGCUAUCGAGAGAUAUAAGCUUGCCAGCCCGGAGUGGAGGGAAAGAGUAGCUCCUUGCCAACAGCUGAAAAUUCUACAUUUUAAUAUUAAUAAUAAUAUUAAACUUGUCCGACCCAAAUUUAUGUGGGUCUGGCUGCAAUGCCAGAUCCAAGAGCUUUGGGCCCCUCUUAAACGUCUGACCCAAAAGCUUUGGGUCCUUCUUAAACUGCAGACCUAAGAGCCUUGGAUCUAGCUAUAACGCUGGACCCAAGAGCCUUGGAUCUAAACGCCAGACCCAAGAGAUGCAGCCCGGACACUGGACCCAAGAGCCUUUAGUCGGUCUGCAAGACUAUACCUAAGAUCCUUGGGGCAGGUUGCAACGCCGGACCCAAGAGCUGCGGGUCCGGACACUGGACCCAAGAGCCUUUGGUCGGUCUGCAAGACUAUACCUAAGAGCCUUGGGCUGGUUACAACACCGGACCCAGGAGCCUUGGGCUCGUCGGGGUUGCCAAACCCAAACAACUUGGGUUUGACAUCUUUUUUCAGCCAUAAGUUACUUGGGUGUGGAAGGGGAUGCCAAACCCAAAAUAAUAAUAAUAAUAAUAAUAAUAAUAAUAAUAAUAAUAAUAAUAAUAAUAAUAAUAAUAAUAAUAGAUUUUACCCUUCAAAUCAAAUCUAUAUUUUUUUUAUUAUAAUAAUAUUUUUUUUAAAAUUUAAUAAUAUAAAUGAAUAUGAUAAUAUUUAUAAUAUUAAUAAUAAUAUUAAACUUGUCUUGCCCAAGUUUAUAAUAAUAAUAAUAAUAAUAAUAAUAAUAAUAGAUUUUACCGUUCAAAUAAAAUUUAUGGUUUUUCUUCGAUAAUAAUAAUAUUUUUUUUAAAAUACUGAUUUUUAACCAGACAUCGAGACUCGCCUCGCGGUUUUCCAAGGCCUUCGUGCCAAGCAAGACCGCUCUUGCCCCUUUCCUUUCUCCAUUCCGCCUCUUUCUUUGCUUUGUUUAUUAAUGAUAAUAAUAAUAAUAAUAUUAAACUCGUCUGACCUACGUUCUUAAUAAAUUGAAUAAUAUAAUAUAAUUAUAGGCAAUAUUUGCACGAAACAACUGAAAUAGUCCCCUUACGGGUACCAGGAUGAUGCAACCAUAUUAUUUGAUAGUUUCACCAACAUUUAACUAGUGUUUUGCCUAUGUUUUAUAUAUAAAAUGCCUUGAUAUUCUUUGUUUUAUGUUUUGAAGGCACUUUUGGAUGAAAGAUGCAAAAAAGAGUAAAUUGGAGAUAAUUGGCAGAUUUGACUUUCAGUCGAUGUUUUGUGCUGAGUGUGAGCUCUAGAGGUUGAAAUGAAGUGAUUCUAGUGGCAUUAAAAAUCUAACAUCCAUACCUUUCUUGACAUCUAAGGCAAGAAAAUAAAAUAAGGAAGAGCAUGGAAAUCGCAGCCUUCAAAGUUAAAUCUUGCAAUCUGCCAGUGUUGACCUUCAGCCAUUCAAACUUGAAUAUCUGGAGCUACAAAAGCCCAAUUGAUGCAAACUCAAUUUUUUUGGAUUCAUGACUCAAAGGUCUAUAAACGCUCCAAAUGUAAGCCAAAAACGAUGUCAUAUGAGGGAGAUAUGAUUUUUCAAAGAUGACAUCUGAAUUCUGCCAGCAAACAGGUUUCGUGAAGAAACGAGUCCAAAUUACAUUCCGAAGCAUCUAAACCGAUAUCCAAGUUUUUAUUUCAGCAAUUUAGCUCCUCUAAGUCAAAGCUUGAAGAUUUCAUGCAAGGCUAUUUCUCUUUUUUUAGGAAAAUAGUUAUUGAAGUACUUAAAUGUAAACAGUCUACUUAAUGGAGGACUAUUUUGUAAAAUAGAGACCUAGGGUUUCCUAGGAUAUAAAAAGAAUGAGAGAAGAGAAGGGGGGCAGCCAGCCAAGAGGAGAAAAACGUCCCCCUCCUCUAAGAAACAUGAAAUUAUGCAUUCUUCCUUCUUUUUGAUUAGUUGUUCAACAAACAUGCAAGGCUAAACACUUUUUCUUUGUUGCAAGGACACAGAAACCUUCAGAUUUCAAGAACUGUGAGAUUUAUUUUACCUUUUCUUUUCAGUUUAUAUGAUGAAUAUGUUUGUUCUCCUAUGCUUAUUUUUCUAUGAUUGUUUAUUUUAAUUGCUAGAGCGGACUCUAAGUUAUUAUUGUAGACAAUCUAUUGCUAAGUUUGAUAUUAAAACCGGAGUUGUGGUAUAUGAACUUGUGAAGCAACUGAGUUUAAUAAUUGUGGCGGAUCUACGUUAUUAAUCUUAGGGAGAACAUUCAAUCAAAUCAAACAUAGACUGCGAACAGUUAUGUUUUCUUGAUUAAUCAACUUAUCUAGUUCUUAAGGCUGCCAUUAAAUUAAAUUACUAGUGCGGACACUGUGGUUGUUUGAUGGUUAGGGUUAGUUAUACGGCGGAUCCGUUAACUAACCAAUGUUAAGAAGAGAUAAAUAUUCAGAAUAUAAAUUGAUGUUUCGUUUCCAUGAUCAGUUCUGAUUUCUGUAGGUGGAUGUGUGCUUGUGACCAAGGUUUGUUCUCUUGAUAAUUUUCUGAUUUUAUUAAAUUUCGUUUGAUAGUUUUCUGUUUUCUUUUGCUUUAGCCUAGAUAACAUCCAAACCCCCCCCCCAAAUUGCAUAUCAUCUAGCAUAAAAAUCUGACUUGAAUAUUCCCCGUGGGAUCGACCCCUUGCUUGCGCUAUACUAUUUUGUGUGUUGUGUUUGAAGCUAGGGUAAUUAAUUUGUGCGACCGCGACAUCGCAACAAAUUUUGGCGCCGUUGCCGGGGAAGUAAUUUUAGUUGAUUCUUGUGCUAUUAUUUUUAUUUGCUGUGAUUGUUAUUUCUUUUUCUGAAAAAAAAACAGAAUUUUUGCUUGCUGCGGUAUUGUUCAUUACGGCAGCGGUACUGUUCAAAACAGAUAUUUUGGUGGAAUUAGGUAUCGGCCUUUUUUUUCCUGAAAGAAAACGGCGUUCUAAACAGGACUAGUGGUAAACCACUAGCCCCACCCUAUCGAGGCCAAAUUCCGCUGUUUUCUAGGGUUCUUAGGCAGUUUUUAUUUUCUACCGUAGGAUUUCGUACAAUUUGUAUUGUUUUCGAUCUCUUGUGUGGUUAGUUUCUUUUGAGUUUUCUUGAUGAUUUAUGCCAGUAACCCGUUCUACUAAUCAAAGUCAAGUGCAGUUGGAUCUCAAAAUAGAAAAAACUUUAUGCAGGUUACGAAAGGAAGCUCGCCUCAACACCAUGGCUAUUGCACGACAACAAACACUCAAGGAGCUUGCUGCUCCUAACGUGGAAAAUCAGCCACUGUGCAUAAACAUCGACAAUAAUGUAAACUUUGAGCUCAAAUCUGGUUUUAUACAUUUGCUACCAACAUUCAAUGGUCUUGCAGGUGAAGAUCCUCAUACUCAUCUCAAGGAGUUCCAUAUGGUUUGUGUUGGCAUGAAACCGAAUGGAGUUGACGAAGAACAAGUUAAGUUGAAAGCUUUCCCUUUCUCUUUAAAAGGGGCAGCAAAGGCAUGGUUUUUCUCUAUUCUCCUAGGUUCCAUUGGAACUUGGAAUGUCAUGAAGAAGAUUUUCCUUGAAAAGUAUUUCCCAGCAUCCCGAGUUGCCAACAUAAGGAAAGAAAUAUGUGGGAUUCGACAAUCUCAUGGAGAGACAUUUUCCGAGUAUUGGAAAAGAUUUGAGCAAUUGUGCAUUCAAUGCCCUCAUCAUCAAAUACCUGAUCAGCUGCUCAUUCAAUAUUUCUAUGAAGGAUUGAUGCCUACUGAUCGUAGCAUCAUUGAUGCUGCAAAUGGAGGGGCAUUGGUAGAUAAGACACCCGAGGCUGCACGCCAAUUAAUCUCAAACAUGGCAGCCAACUCGAAACAAUUUGGCACGUGUGGAGACUUCGUAAACAAACGAGUAAAUGAGGUAAAUAUUUCUAACCUUGAGAAUAAAGUUAAUGAUCUUACUUCUCUUGUGCGUUCUUUGGCUUGUGGAAAUGUACAGCAGAUGAAAGUUUGUAGCAUAUGUUCCUUACAAGGACAUACCUCAGAUAUGUGCCCAACAAUGCAAGAAGAUUACAUUGAACAAGUUCAUACAGUUGAUGGAGGAUUCAACGGAUAGUCCCAGCGUAAAUAUGAUCCCUUUUCCAACACGUACAAUCCCGGAUGGAGAGAUCAUUCAAACUUAUAUUAUGGGAACCCACCUAAAUAAGGCAAUCAAGGCCGACAGUUCCAUCCCUAUGGAUUUCAGUCCCAACAGAAUUAUCAAGCAAGACAACCCCCUCCAUUCACAAACUCCAAUGUUAUGGGGUCGUCAUCCAGUGAUGAUCUUCGUGAGAUGAUGAAAACUUUGGCUUCUAACACUGUGACCUUGCAACAAAAUGUCAUGUCUUUUCAACAGGAAACAAGGUCAAGUAUUCACAACUUGGAGAAGCAAAUAGGGCAAGUAGCUUCAAGUGUGGGGAAAUUGGAAGCACAAAUAAAUGGAAAAUUGUCCUCCCAGGCAUUGAAUCCAAUAGAGAAUGUUAGUGUGAUCAUGCUGCGAAGUGGGAAAGAACUUGAAGAGAAAAGGUCGAAACAAAUUGAGAUGGAAGAAGAAGAAGAGAUAGAAACCGAAUUGAGUACAAAGAAGGAACAUCCUCCUCCUUCACAAACUGAAACAUCGACCAACACUCCAAGGUAACUCCUCACUCAAUGAAUUCCAGUUUUAAAACAAUUCCACCUUUUCCUGUGAGUUCUUCUAGGUCAAAGAAAGAGGACAAAGAAAAAGAGAUUUUAGAGGUUUUCAAGAAAGUAGAACUCAACAUUCUUUUGCUUGAUGCUAUCAAGAAAAUUCCCAAGUAUGCCAAAUUCUUGAAGGAGUUGUGUACUACCAAGAGAGCUUUCAAACUAAAAGGUCAUGAAAUGGUAAGUAUGGGUGAAGUUGUAUCUGCUAUUGUUCAAAAGAAUAUGCCUUUGAACCAAAAAGACCCAUGUGCGUUUACUAUCCCAUGUGUUAUUGGUAAUGCUGGUUUCAAAAGGGCCUUGUGUGAUUUAGGUGCAUCCAUUAGUGUUAUGCCUAAACAUGUUUAUGAUUCUCUUAGUCUUGAGCCUUUGAAUAAAACUAGCAUUGUAAUACAACUUGCGGAUCGUAGUUUUGUUUACCCACUUGGUGUGAUAGAAGAUGUCCUAGUCAAGAUUGAUAGUUUGGUCAUUCCAUGCGACUUUUAUAUUCUUGAUAUGGAACAUGAUUCUUGUGAUUCAUCAAACAACACUCCUAUAUUGUUUGGGAGACCAUUCUUGAAAACUGCCAAUACAAAGAUUGAUUGUGGUAAGGAUACUUUGUCUAUGAAAGUAGGAGAUGAAAAGAUUGGAUUUAAUUUUCAUGAUGCAAUGAAAUAUCCUUAUAACAAUGUUUAUUCUAUCACAUGCUAUGACCAAGUUGAUAAGUGUGUGCAACAAGUUUUUGAUUUUGAUUGUGAGGAUGGAUUAAGCGUAGCUUUGAGCUAUGGCUAUAAUUUUACCAAGAUUGAAAAGAUGGAGAGGCAUGUAUGUGUUCCCCGAAACGUGCAUGACUCAGCAUUGGAUUUGCAAGCUUUGCAAAUUGUCCUCCAUGAUGCAGGAGUCAUUUACCUCAUCACGGACAGUGAAUGGGUGGCGCCUAUCCUUUUGGUGCCCAAAAAGAUUGGAAUUGCGUUGGAAGAAAUACAAAAUGAUGCUUAUGAGAAUGCAAGGAUUUACAAAGAAAAGAUCAAAAGUCUUCAUGACCGAAUGAUUACAAGAAAAGAGUUUAAUGUUGGAGACAAAGUCCUUUUUUAUCAUUCGCGUUUGAAACUUUUUCCUGGAAAAUUGCGCUCUCGUUGGAUUGGACCCUUUGUUGUUUCUAAUGUUUUUCCUUAUGGUGCAGUUGAAAUUACAAGUUUAGAAACCAACAAAAUACUCAAGGUCAAUGGGCAUCGUUUGAAACCUUUCUAUGAAGGUUGGACGACAGAACUCACCGCUUCUGUAGAGUUAGCUGAACCAAUCUAUGAAGAAUGAGCAUGCCACAUGUCGAGCCAAUGACAUAAAAUAAAAGCGCUUACAGGGAGGCAACCCAGCACAAAAAAAAAAACAAACAGAUUUGCUUUCUUUUUCCCUUAUCUUUUAUUUUUCGCAUUUUACUUUAUUUUUGUCAUUCUCCAAUAUUCCUUUUCUUUUAUUUCAACAUUGAGGACAAUGUUGUGUUUUAAGUGUGGGGGUACUGGGAGAAUGUUGGUUUUCUAAUUUUGGUUUUCUUUGUUAUUUUUCAAAAUAAAAAAAAAUUAUGUUUGAUCUUUUGAACUCCCAUUGGUUUUUGAGAAUAUGAGUAUUAUGUAUGAGAAUUAGUUGAGAUAGAUGAAGAUAUAAAUCAAAUGAAUGAGUGUGCAUACAAGUUUUAAUGUUUAAUUGGUUUAGGGAUUGACUUUGAGAAUAUGUCAUGUUGACUUUAUAGUGUUAUACCAAUGCAAGCUUUUGAGCCUUCAACAUUAUAUUCUUUGAUUGUGCCUCUUUUCAAUGAUAUGUAUCUCUAAAACUUGCUUUAUAUCUUGUUGAGAUUACAUUCACAUUACAUAUAUACAUGAAGAUGAUAAAGGCAUUAGAAAUUUUAACCACUUGAGCCAAAAAGCCAACCUAAAGCAAAUUAUCCUUAGUAAACCUCUUUUGAGCUUGUUUAUAUCUUUUCUUUGCUUUAUCCAUGUAUAAGCCUUAACUUUAUAUAUGUUUUCCUUUUCCCUUGGCCAAGGAUUAGUAGAGCAUAUACUAGUGAUAUUUCAUGGAAUUAUGGUUGGAAAUUAUGUGAAAAGAAAGAAGAAGAAGAAGUGAUGCUUGAUGAAAAGAUGGGCAAAGUUGCCAAAGGUAAAAAAACAAAAAAAGAAAAAAAGAAAAAAAGAAAAAAAAAAGUGUUCCUUUAUGUUCUUAAGAUUUUACGUUGAAAAAGCUUGAAAUCAAAAGAAGUUAAGCAUUGGUGAUUAAAGAUGGAAAAUUUAUAUGCUUUAAUGGAAUAUCUUGUUUGAAAUAUUAUUUUUCAGAAUGCUCUACUUUUUUUGGUUUGAACCUUUUCUUUUACUCUCUUUUACCUCAUCUUAACCUUAGCCCCAUUACAACAAGAAAAUAAGACCUUUUGAUUCAUGCAUUGUUUGUAAUAUGUUAGUAAUGGAGAUGAGAUUGAAGAGCAAGCUUAUGGUAGAACAUAUUCAUUGAUUGAAUUUGAGAGAUUUAAACACAUAAGCCUUAAACACGUGAGUGUUGGAGUGUAUAUCAAUGAGAGGACCUAUCACUUUGGCAUGGCAUAGAUUUCAUUUAAAUCCCGACAAUUAAUUGAAUUUUGAAGUUUGCAUGUAAAUAAAUUCAUGAAAAUUUAUACUCUUUAUCCUUCUUAAUUGUGUUCUUGUUUAUAAUGCAUAUAUUCUUGGAUAUUGAUCGGAGAUUAGAAGAUUAGUCAUAGUGAUUUGAUUUAAUUUAAUUUAACUUCAAUUUGAUUUUACCUAUCCUUUCUCGAGGACGAGCAAGAGCUAAGUGUGGGGGUAUUUGAUGCAACCAUAUUAUUUGAUAGUUCACCAACAUUUAACUAGUGUUUUGCCUGUGUUUUAUAUAUAAAAUGCCUUGAUAUUCUUUGUUUUAUGUUUUGAAGGCACUUUUGGAUGAAAGAUGCAAAAAUGAGUAAAUUGGAGAUACUUGGCAGAUUUGACCUUCAGUCGAUGUUUUGUGCAGAGUGUGAGCUCUAGAGGUUGAAAUGAAGUGAUUCUACUGGCAUUAAAAAGCUAACAUCCAUACCUUUCUGGAAAUCUAAGGCAAGAAAAUAAAAUAAGGAAGAGCAUGGAAAUCGCAGCCUUCAAAGUUAAAUCUCGCAAUCUGCCAGUGUUGACCUUCGGCCAUUCAAACUUGAAUAUCUGGAGCUACAAAUGUCCAAUUGAUGCAAAUUCAAUUUUUUUGGAUUCAUGACUCAAAGGUCUAUAAACGCUCCAAAUGUAAGCCAAAAAAGAUGUCAUAUGAGGGAGAUAUGAUUUUUCAAAGAUGACAUCUGAAUUCUGCCAGCAAACAGGUUUCGUGAAAAAAUGAGUCCAAAUUACGUUCCGAAGCAUCUAAACCGAUAUCCAAGUUUUUAUUUCAGCAAUUUAGCUCCUCUAAGUCAAAGCUUGAAGAUUUCAUGCAAGGCUAUUUCUUCUUUUUUAGGAAAAUAGUUAUUGAAGUACUUAAAUGUAAACAGUCUACUUAAUGGAGGACUAUUUUGUAAAAUAGAGACCUAGGGUUUCCUAGGAUAUAAAAAGAAUGAGAGAAGAGAAGGGGGGAAGCCACCCAAGAGGAGAAAAACGCCCCCCUCCUCUAAGAAACACGAAAUUAUGCAUUCUUCCUUCUUUUUGAUUAGUUGUUCAACAAACAUGCAAGGCUAAACACUUUUUCUUUGUUGCAAGGACACAGAAACCUUCAGAUUUCAAGAAUUGCGAGAUUUAUUUUACCUUUUCUUUUCAGUUUAUAUGAUGAAUAUGUUUGUUCUCCUAUGCUUAUUUUUCUAUGAUUGUUUAUUUUAAUUUCUAGAGCGGACUCUAAGUUAUUAUUGUAGAUAAUCUAUUGCUAAGUUUGAUAUCAAAACCGGAGUUGUGGUAUAUGAACUUGUGAAGCAACUGAGUUUAAUAAUUGUGGCGGAUCUACGUUAUUAAUCUUAGGGAGAACAUUCAAUCAAAUCAAACAUAGACUGCGGACAGUUAUGUUUUCUUGAUUAAUCAACUUAUCUAGUUCUUAAGGCUGCCAUUGAAUUAAAUUACUAGUGCGGACACUGUGGUUGUUUGAUGGUUAGGGUUAGUUAUACGGCGGAUCCGUUAACUAACCAAUGUUAAGAAGAGAUAAAUAUUCAGAAUAUAAAUUGAUGUUUCGUUUCCAUGAUCAGUUCUGAUUUCUGUAGGUGGAUGUGUGCUUGUGACCAAGGUUUGUUCUCUUGAUAAUUUUCUGAUUUUAUUAAAUUUCGUUUGAUAGUUUUCUGUUUUCUUUUGCUUUAGCCUAGAUAACAUUCAAACCCCCCCCCCAAAAUUGCAUAUCAUCUAGCAUAAAAAGAUGACUUGAAUCUUCCCCGUGGGAUCGACCCCUUGCUUGCUCUAUACUAUUUUGUGUGUUGUGUUUAAAGCUAGGGUAAUUAAUUUGUGCGACCGCGACAUCGCAACACAGGACUGGGCCAUGCGGGCAGCUAAGUAUGUUUGUUUUUUAUGUAUCGUUUGUGGUUAUGAUUUGAAAAGAUAUAAAUUUUAAAAAAUAUGGUAAGCUGAGGUUAGUUGGAUUGAGAUACGUGUUUGGUAAAAAAUAUAGUUGAAGUUUAUGUGCAACAAAAAACAUGUAUAAAAUGUUUGGUAGUUGUGUGGUUGCUUUUCAAAGUGCUUUUUACUUGGAAAUGCACUAAAAUAAUGUAUUUUUAUUUUUAAAAAAUUAUUUUUGAUAUCAGCACAUUAAAAUGAUGUAAAAACACUAAAAAAUAUUAAUUUGAAGUAAAGAAAAAAAAUAAAAUAAUUAUCAUUUUUUAAAAGCUCUUUUAAAACGUAAAAACAAAUAAUAUUUUAUGAAAUUCAAUUAAAAAAAUAUAUAAAAACUACUUCACAAAAAUUAUAUUUCGAACUUAAUUUUUUAAUGGAUCUCACAAUAUAAAACUUAAUUUUUACAGUUAACGAGCACCUUACUAUAUUUUUUGUGGACUGUAAAUAUAAAGGCAGGUGAAAAACAAACGCAGUGUAAUCGAUGGCUUCGGCAAAACUGUGGUCGACAGUGAAGAACUACCAAAAGUUUUGAAUCCGUUUGUCUACGCGGCUGCGGUUAAAAUAAAACGCAGCAAAUAUAUGUUUGGUUACAGAAAAAAAAUUGUUUGCUAUUCAUGGGUCCCACCUUUUACUGCGUUACAAACGCAGUAAUCACAAAGCAGCAGGAGACUGCUUUUGUUUCAACAGUAAACAAUGGGCAACACAUAUUUACGCACUGUGCAUGCUAAUUAAUUAGCAUGGACAGUGUAACUUGCAUACAUUGUACACUGUAUGCAUGUUACACUGUUCAUGCUAAUUAAUUCGCAUGAACAGUGUAACAUGCAUACAGUUCCGGUUGGACCGGUUCCGGCCAAACCAGUUCCGGUUCAAAGCUUAAAAUACAUUAAAUCAGGUUCAACCCAGUAAAAUAAAAAUUAUUUUUAAUUUUUUAAUUGUUUUUUAUUAAAAAAACUAGUGUUUAACAUUAUUUAAUGACACUACAUAAAUUAGACAGAUAUCGCUUGAUAAAGUAGCAUUUGCAGAAUUUGAUCGCAAUCCUAAUUUUGCUCUUGAUUAUAUUUUAUCUGAUGUUAUUCCGCGCUUAAACAACCAAAAAAACUGUAGUCCUUGUCGGAGGUAUUUCAUACGUGAUGGAAUUGUAGAUAUUUUAAUGGAAUAAUAAAAAAUAUUUUAUAUAAAGUAUUAUUUAUUUCAUGAUGUAAUAACAAAAGUUAAAUCUAUAAUAUUUAAAUUAAAAACUAUCAAUAUUAAUAUAUAUUUUUUAAAAUUAUUUUAUAACCUCAAUUCCAAAAGCAUUCUUAACCAAACACAUUAAACUACUUUUUUUUCAACGUCAAUUUUAACCACAGUUUUAACCAAACAUCUAUUUUUUCAAACCACAACCACAAUAGCUACUACAAUACAAAUCACACUAUUUGAAUGAAUCGACAGUCCUAGGCAUGUCCAAGAAACAAACUUACCAGGACGUAUUUAUUGGUCUGCAUUCUAUCAUCGCGCCCCAUUUAAUAGCCUCAACUAUAAAUCAUAACCAUUAACCCCUUGUACCGUCAUCAUCUUUUAACCACUUCCCUUUCAUCUCCUCUGUUUUUGGGCUCCAUUUCAGCAUAUUUUGUUUUUUUUUUUAUGUUUUUUAUAUUAAAUUAAAUUUUUUAAUUUUUAAUUUUUAAUUUUUUUUAAAUAUUAAUAUAAAAUAUAAUUUUUUUUUUAAUAUAUUUUGAAAUAAAAAAACAAUUUUUAAAACGAUAUCAAUUCAACAAUAGCUGCCGACUUUUGACAGUUUCCAUGUAUUUUCAGAGAACUACGUGCAGGGUUAGAUACGAAGAAUUUAACCUCAUCACAACAACAAAUAAAAUAUUUUUUGAAAAAAUAUUAAUAUGUGAGCAUCAUACGUACACACGUGUAUGUGUGUGUGAUGAGAAAUUAAGUUAAUCAUUUGAGAUGCGUCGAAGAUUUGAAGACUAGAAGUAAGGAUAGAGGGAAGAGGAAACAAGGAAUAUUCAGUGGAUCAAUGACAUGCUAUGUUAAAAAUAAUUCAGUUUCAGGUUCGAGCUCUGUGGUUGCUCAUAUAAUGGCUAUUAGAGGAUUAAUUUUUUUAAAACAUAAAAAAGACUAUUGAGAGCACGAAGAGUUUUUUUUUAUAAUGUUAUGAACUCUGAUCAAAUGGGUCAAUCUUAAAAUCUUUUGUCUCAGUUUUUUAUCUAAUUCAAGUUUCAAAUUAAAUCGUGUGAGAGCUAGUCUGAUUUAAACAAUCAAUUUUAUGGAUCCAAAUGUAACGUGGAUGACUAAUGAAAACAUAACUUAGCUUUUAAAAAGAAUUCAAGAUAAUUUUUUUUAAAUAUCGAGACAAUGACAGAUUGAAUCAAUCCCGAUCCCCAAUAACCCGGAUCAUGAACUCUAUUUGAUUUAAUAACCUUUUUUUUAUAAACUCUUUUUAAUUAUAUAAUAAAAAUAGAUACUCAUAAAAUUAAACACCAACCAUAAAAUAUAUAUUUAUUUGAGACUAUGAUAACCUAUAGAAAAUAAACAAAAAUAAACCUUAUAGUCUAUUUCCUAACCAAUCCAAUAUUGAAGGACGAAAUAAAAAAAUAAAGAAUAAAAAAAAUAUCCAGUCUGUUAGUAAACCUGUCAAACCUGUGAAUCAGGUAACUGGAGCUAGCAUGUCAAACCAGUGAACGGGGUUAUGGACUUCAUUGAUAUUAUAAUUUUUUUUUAAACAUUAACCCCUUGUACCGUCAUCAUCUUUUAACCACAUCCUUUUCAUCUCCUCUCUCUUCUGUUUUUUUGGCUCCAUUCUAGCAUCUUUUGUUAAUAUCAAAAAUAAAAUAUAAAAUAUAAAAAAUAUUUUAAUAUAUUUUUACAUGAAAAAAACAAUUUAGAAAACGACAUCACUGCAGACUUUGACAGUUCCAUGCAUGUACUUUUCGGAGAACUGUCAUCCCAAGGACACAGAUAGAGAUAAACAUGAUCAAUCAUGGAAGGUAAAUUUAGAUCAUUGAUUUUGAAAUUAAUGGCUUAGAUUUUAUUUAUUUGGAAAAAAAUAACUAUCAAUUUUAAAAGAAUUCUAAGAAACCAUUAACUUUUUUAAUGUGUUGUCCAAGAGAAAUUCAACCUUGAGAUCUCUUUGAAAAAUUAAAGACAUUAAUACCAUUUGAGCAUAUUAGUUCGGUAAAAUGAAAUCUAAACCUUUAAUUUUAAAGAUAAUAAAUUAUUUUUAUUUAGGAGUUGUUUGUGAAUGUGAUAGUAGUUGCUGUUUAAAGUGUUUUUUAUUUAAAAAUAUAUCAAAAUAAUAUAUAUUUUUUAUUUUUUAAAAAAUUAUUUUUGAGAUCAGCAUAUAAAAACAAUCUAAAAACAUAAAAAUUAAAUUUUAUCCUCCCUCCGUUUAAACCGCACUCCUAGAAGGGGGCUUAAUAUGAGAGGUCAUGUUACUCCAAACAUAAAGAGAGCUCAAUCAUUAAAAGCAAAUAAUAUCUUCACUCAUGAACACUCAACAAAAAAAAGGUAAUAAAAAAUUAUUAUUUUUAUAGAUAUAAAUUUAAUAGGUUUAAAAAACCCAAAAAACUCGAAAAACAUCACCUUCAAGCUCGGGUCAGCAGCUACCAAGAUGCAUGCUACCUGGAUCCAAUUAAAUUUUUGGCUUGGACAUGUGCCCCAACAACCCAUGGGCUCGGGCACGCUCCCCAAGGCCAACUUGUCCUUACCUAACUCUCCCUUUAGAAUUUUCUCAGGAUCUCAUGUUGGUCUCUUAGUUUUUUAUACUGAUCUGAUACAUAUUAUUUUGAGUUGAAUACAACACAAAAUAUCACAAUGGUAAAAUUACAUUUCAAUCCAUCAUCGCCACAAAAAAAUAAGACUAAUAAGCUAUAAAUAUAUCAUAUAUCCUUCAAUCAAAGAUUCGUAAUCUUUUUAUUCUUAACACUUUAAGUAUUUAUAUUUUCAAUUACUUUCCAGAGGCGUCUCUUUUAAAUAUUGAUUUAGAUGGUAAACCACUUUAUUUAUUGUAUUUAAUAUUGUAAUUCUCACCCUACCCUUCCUAAAAUAUCAAUUACUUUCUCUGUUUCAUAAAGAGAGUUUUAUUAAACUUCACACAAAUCAUUUCGUUUGCCACCCUAGUCUUUUGCAAUCUUUCUUCAAGACACUUCCAAUUUUCGAGAGAGAAAACUCAUAUAUUUGUUUUUAUCAUAUUUAUUACAUUACAUUUUAAAAUUACAUGUAGUUGAAAAAAAAUGUGAAUUCAAUUUUAAAAGAAGUAAAAUAAUAAAAUUUGAUACUCUAUUCUUUUUAUUUAUGAACUAGUUACAUGACCCGCGCGAUGCCGCGGGUUAAUUUAUUUUUGCUUAAAAAAUAUAUAAAAAAAAAUAAGGUCUAAUAGUGUUAUGUUUUUCUGCAAAGUUAUACCCAAGAGUCUUGGGUUUGGCUGCAACACCUAACCCAAGAGUAAUAUUUAUAAUAUUAAUAAUAACAUCAAACUUGCAUGAUACAAGUUUAAAUGGGUCUGACUGCAAUACCGGACCCAAUAGCCUUGGAUGUGGGUCUGGCUGCAAGGUUGUGUCAUAAAAGUAUGAUAAUCAAAUAGAUUAAUUAAAAAGAAAAAAACAAAGAAAAAAAAACCAACCGGAAGAAAAAAACUAAUGAAGAAAAAGAAUUUUUUUUUUAAUUAACUGGGUUAACCCUUCAAACCAGGUUAACCCGUCAAACCUUGGAUUCAUGUCGUGAAAGUUUGAUAACUAAACAGGAAAAACAAAUUGAUGGGUUACCCGUAAUUAAUUGGGCUAACCUGUGAAACCAGGUUAAUCCAUCAAACCCGGGAUCCGUGUCAUGAAAGUUUGAUAACUAAAUAUAAAAAAAUUUAAUACUAACAAACUAAAUUAAACGAAAAAAAUUAACUAAAAAGGAAAAAAAACAAAAAAAAACAAAAGGCAUCAACAUUUUCAUUGUGGACUGCUCUGUGCAGUCCACAGUCAAAGGCAUAAAAAGGAAAAAAAGCAAAAAAAAAAAAACUAAAGGCAUCAAACAAUAACUAAAUAGAAAAAAAAAUUAAUAUUAAUGAACUAAAUUAAAUAAAAAAAUAUUAAUUAAAAAUAAAAAAUAAAGAAAAAAAACCUAUAAGAAGAAAAAAACUAAUGAAGAAAGAGAAAAAAAAUCUAAAUUAACUUUGAAUCAACUGGGUUAAUCUAUCAAAUCUGGGAUCCGUGUCAUAAAAGUCUGAUAAUUAAGUAGAAAAAAUUUAAUAUUAAAAAGUAAAUAAAAAAUAAUUAAAAAUAAAAAAAACAAAGAAAAAAGCUUAAAAAAAAACUAAAGGCAUCAGCUUUUUCACUGUAGAUUGCACUGUGCAAUCCAUAGUAAAAGGCUUAAAAAGGAAAAAAACAAAGGCGCACGCCACGGGUAAUUUUUUUUUCUUGCAUAAAAAAUAUCAAAAAAGGCUAAGAUCUAAGAGUGUUAGGUUUUUUUGCAAAGAUAUACCCAAAAGCCUUGGGUCUAGCUGCAACGCUUGACUCAAGAGUAAUAUUUAUAAUAUUAAUAAUAAUAUUAAACUCACAUGACUCAAGUUUAAGUGAGUCUGACUGCAACACCAGACCAAUAGCCUUGGAUGUGGGUUUGGCUGCAAAGUCAUGUCAUAAAAGUGUGAUAAUUAAAUAGAUUAACUAAAAAGAAAAAAACCAACAGGAAGAAAAAAACUAAUGAAGAAAAAGAAAAAAAAUUAAAUUAACUGGGUUAACCCUUCAAACCAGGUUAACCCGUCAAACUUGGGAUUCGCGUCAUGAAAGUUUGAUAACUGCAUAGAAAAACAAAAUUGACGGGUUAACCCAUGAAACCAAGUUAACCCGUCAAACCCGAGAUAUAUGUCAUGGAAGUCUGAUAACUAAAUAGAAAAAAAAUUUAAAAUUAACAAACUAAACUAAACAAAAAAAAUUAAUUAAAAAGAAAAAAAGAAAAAAAAUCCGGGUUAACUCGUCAAACCAGGCUAACCCGUUAAACCCGGGAUCCGUGCCAUGAAAGUCUGAUAACUAAAUAAAAAAAAUUUAACAUUAACAAAAUAAAUUAAAUAAAAAAAUUAUUAAAAGAAAAAAAAAUUGACAGCUUAACCCAAAAUUAAUUGGGUUAACCCAUGAAACUUGGAAUAUGUGUCAUGAAAGUCUAAUAACUUAAUAGAAAGAAAUUUAACAUUAACAAACUAAAGUAAACGAAAAAAAUUAAUUAAAAAGAAAAGAAAAACAAAAAAAAUAUUUCGGAUUAACUCGUCAAACCGUGUUAACCUGUUAAACUCGGAAUCCGUGUCAUGAAAGUCUAAUAACUAAAUAAAAAAAUUAACAUUAACAAACAAAAAAAUUUUAUUAAAAGAAAAAAAAAAACAAAGAAAGAAGCAAAAACAAAAAAAACCCUAAAGGCAUAAAAAAUGAAAAAAAAAAGAAGAAAAAAAACAGAAAAAAAUGAAAAAAAAAGAAGCUCAUCUUUUACUCAAAAACAAAAAACCCUAAAGGCAUAAAAAAUGAAAAAAAAAAACAAGAAGAAGAAGAAGAAGAAGCUCAUCUUUUAAUGUGGACUGCACUGUGCAGUCCACAGUAAAAAACUAAGCCCUUUUAGUAUAGUUUAAUAAACACAUAUGUUUUAAGAUAUUUAAAGGAAAAAAAGAACUCUCUCUUUAGGAGGAGAUGGAAGAAAUAUAAUGUUUAUUCUAUAGGCUCCACAUGGAGACAAUCACCAUAAAAUUAUAAUUAUUAUACUCGAUUCAAAAACUAUACUAGAAAAAAAAAUACGAGUCAUUCAGUUAUUAGACUAACUUGUGGAUCAUCAUAUCAAUUCAGUGGAUCAAUGACAUGUUAUAUUAAAAAUAAUUCAGUGUGCUGAAUGUAAACAUGCUUUAAUUUCAACAAACUUUUAAUUUAAUUUCAAUAUAUUUUUUAAUUAAUUUUAAAUUAAAUAAUAAUUUAAAAACUUGAGAGUUUGAACUAACAGAUAUAAAUCACGAUGAAAAUUCAACCUCUCUAUAACUCCUAUAUAAUAUCAUAAAAUCAAUUAUAUUGUAAUUUUUACAUUUUUAAUUAUUCUUAAAUGAUGAAAAAAAAUUCACUAGCUAAAAAAAUGGUAACUAGUCUAUGUUACUAGUGUAUUGACCCGCGUUGUGUCUUUGUCAGAUUAGUUUUUUUAAAAUGUAAAAAAGAAUGUUGAGAGCACGAGGAGUUUUUUUUUAUAGUGUUAUUAACUCUGAUCAAAUGGGUCACUCUUAAAACCUUUCGUCUCAGCUCUUUGCCAAACUCAAGUUUUCAAUUAAAUCGCGUGGCAGCUAGUUCAAUUUAAACAGUUGAUUUUAUAGAUCAAAAUGUAACUUGGAUGCCUGAUGAAAACAUUACUUAGCUUUCAAAAAAAAUUCAAGAUAAUUUUUUUUUUUAAAAAAAUAUCGAGACAAUGACAGACUGGAUCAAUCCUGGCCCCCUAAUAACCCGGAUCAUGAACUCUAUUGGAUUUAAUAAUUUUUUUUAUAAACUCUUUUUAAUUAUAUAAUAAAAAUAGAUGCUCGUAAAAUUAAACACCAACCCUAAAAUAUAUAUUUAUUUGAGACUAUGAUAAUCCAAUAGAAAACAAACAAAAAUAAACCUUAUAGUCUAUUCCUAACCAAUCAAAUAUUGAAGGACAAAAUAAAAAAAAUAAAGAAUCAAAAACAAAAAAAGCAUAUCCAGUCUGUUAGUAAACCUGUCAACCCUGUGAAUCGGGUAACUUGAGCUAGUAUGCCAAACCAGUGAACGGGGUUAUGGAUUCCACUGAGAUUAUAAUUUGUUUUUUCUUAAAAAAAUAUUUUUAUUUAACUAUAUGAUAAUAAAAAUAAACGAUCGCAAAAUCGAAUAUUAACUCAAUACCGAGAUAUUUUUUGAGACCGCAAUAACUUUAUAGAAAGCAAAUCAAAACCAAUUAUGGAAUUGAAUUCCCAAUUAACCCAAUAUCUAUAGAUGAAAUUGAAAAAAAGAGUUAAACUUUCCAAACCUGCGAACCAUGUCAACCAACCGAACCUAUGAAUAGAUCUAUGAACUUUAUAAAAUUUAAGAACAUGUUUUUUUUUAAACUAUUUAUUUAACUAUACAAGAAAAAAAUAAACGACAACAAACUCAAGUUCAAUUAAAAAAAACAUUUCGUCAAACUCAUAAACCAGGAUAACUUGGGUUACCCAAGUAAACCCGCAAAUACUUUAACCAUAUAAAAAGACAAAUUAAAAAUAAAUAAUUUACAAGAUUUAAUUCUAAAUUAUCUUAAUAUUAAAAGACAGAAUAGACAAAAACAGUUUUGAAAAAAAAAAAGCAAAGCGAGAGCAGAGAGAGCAUAUCAUGAAAUUUUUGCUAUAAAAAUAAUAAUAGCAAAGGCUAAAAGUUUUGUAUGCUUAAAGGAAAAGUGGACGAUGGACGACGUGGUUUUGUCCCACAGGUUGAAAAAAGGCUUGUGAUGAAAUCGUUUCAGCCUAGCUUAAGUUUAAUUUCCCAUUCUUCUGCUUGUCGUGCAUCUUUUAUUCCCCGAGCUAAACUCAACAGAACACUCAUUACCCAAAAAAAUAAACAUACCCCUCCCCUGUCCCUGUCACUCGUAGGUUUAAGACCCGGCCUGGUUCAAGGCCUGGGUUCUGGGUUUUGACCGGGUCGGCCGGGUCAUUUUUUUUUUAAAAAAAUCAAAACGACGUCGUUUUAGUAAAAAAAAAUCAAAAGUCAACGGGUUUGCAACUGGGUCUUGACCGGGUCAGCCGGCUCACAUCAGGUUUUUUCUUCCCAUUUUUUUUCUUCAACCCGGCCCGGUUCCAGCCCCGGGUCGGCUGGGUCUCAGGUCAACCCACUAGGCCAGGCCGGGUUUCAAAACUAUGCUUUCACUCGAAGGGUUAGUUCGAGUUUCUUCCCAUUCUUUUGCUUCUCGUGCAUCUUUCGUUUUGAUAUUUGACUCGCAUUUCACAACAGUUUAGAUAUUUUUUUCUCAAUAAAAAAAAUGUAUAUAUAGACUUUUUCAACAUGUUUUUUAUUUGAAAAAUAAUUCUAAGUGAAAAUCAAAAUAUUUAUACAUACAUGCAAUCAAAUAAAUUGAGAACUAUGUGUGUUAAUAAACGAAAAAAAACCAUAAAUGAUGACUAAAAAUAAAAACUAGAAAAAUCAAGAGACAUGUGUAUAUCAAGAUAUUUAACUUCACAAGAUUAUGACAUUUAGGCGGUUGUGUUUGCUAAAUUUGUUAAUUAAAAUAAUUUUUUUAUCCAAUCAAACGAUAAUAAAAAUAGACACACAUAUUAAAUUGUUUGAAUAAAAUAAAAGAAAAAAAAUAAUAUGCAAAGCUGUACAUAUUAGAAAUUUUUUUUGAAAUUUUUUUUAUUUUCAGAAAUAAAGUUCAUAUAUACAAUAGAUUAAAAAAAUAUAGAUUAAUCAGAAAAACAUCAUCAGAAAUUAAAUGCAUAAUUAAAAAAUAAUUGUCAUUUCAAAUAGGCUUUUUAAAUAACAUAAAAGAGAGAAGAGAUAUUGAUCUAAAUAUAAAUAUAAAUAAAAUUAAGAUUAAGAUUAAUUUAAAAAAAUAGAAACAAAAAAAGAAAGUAUUUUUUCUUCAACAAAAAAAAGAAGUAAAUAGUGUCAUCAAUAGUAAAACUUGUGGGGUGAACUCGGACUAUGAACUCAACCGGUUUUUUCCCCUUAAAUUUGUGGCAAACCUAAAAAAAAGUGAACAAUGUUGUCCAUGGUAAAACAUAAAGGGGUGAACAGCCAGGCCUCACGCCUGCCCCAAUGAACCACCGGCCUGCGCUCGGGUAAACAUGGCCCAGACACCCACAUUAAACUAAAAAAGUAAUAACAAUUCAGUGUGUUGAAUGUAAACAUGCUUUAAUUUCAACAAACUUUUAAUUUAAUUUCAAUAUAAUUUUUAAUUAAUUUUAAAAUUAAAUAAUAAUUUAAAAACUUGAGAGUUUGAACUAACAUAUAUAAAUCACGAUAAAAUUUCAACCUCUCUAUAACUCCUACAUAAUAUCUUAAAAUCAAUUAUAUUGUAAUUUUGAUAUUUUUAAAUAUUUUUAAAUGAUGAAAAAAAAUCACCAACUGAAAAAACGUUAACUAGUCUAUAUUAAAAGUCUAUUGACCCGUGCUCUGUCUUUGUUAGAUUAAUUUUUUUAAAACAUAAAAAAGACUAUUGAGAGCACGAAGAGUUUUUUUUAUAAUGUUAUGAACUCUGAUCAAAUGGGUCAAUCUUAAAAUCUUUUGUCUCAGUUUUUUAUCUAAUUCAAGUUUCAAAUUAAAUCGUGUGAGAGAUAGUCUGAUUUAAACAAUCAAUUUUAUGGAUCCAAAUGUAACGUGGAUGACUAAUGAAAACAUAACUUAGCUUUUAAAAAGAAUUCAAGAUAAUUUUUUUUAAAAUAUCGAGACAAUGACAGAUUGAAUCAAUCCCGAUCCCCCAAUAACCCGGAUCAUGAACUCUAUUUGAUUUAAUAACCUUUUUUUAUAAACUCUUUUUAAUUAUAUAAUAAAAAUAGAUACUCAUAAAAUUAAACACCAACCAUAAAAUAUAUAUUUAUUUGAGACUAUGAUAAACCUAUAGAAAAUAAACAAAAAUAAACCUUAUAGUCUAUUUCCUAACCAAUCCAAUAUUGAAGGACGAAAUAAAAAAAUAAAGAAUAAAAAAAACAUCCAGUCUGUUAGUAAACCUGUCAAACCUGUGAAUCAGGUAACUGAAGCUAGCAUGUCAAACCAGUGAACGGGGUCAUGGACUUCACUGAGAUUAUAAUUUUUUUUUUAAACAUUAACCCCUUGUACCGUCAUCAUCUUUUAACCACUUCCCUUUCAUCUCCCCUCUCUUCUGUUUUUUUGGCUCCAUUCUAGCAUCUUUUGUUAAUAUCAAAAAUAAAAUAUAAAAUAUAAAAAAUAUUUUAAUAUAUUUUUACAUGAAAAAAACAAUUUAGAAAACGACAUCACUGCAGACUUUGACAGUUCCAUGCAUGUACUUUUCGGAGAACUGUCAUCCCAAGGACACAGAUAGAGAUAAACAUGAUCAAUCAUGGAAGGUAAAUUUAGAUCAUUGAUUUUGAAAUUAAUGGCUUAGAUUUUAUUUAUUUGGAAAAAAAUAACUAUCAAUUUUAAAAGAAUUCUAAGAAACCAUUAACUUUUUUAAUGUGUUGUCCAAGAGAAAUUCAACCUUGAGAUCUCUUUGAAAAAUUAAAGACAUUAAUACCAUUUGAGCAUAUUAGUUCGGUAAAAUGAAAUCUAAACCUUUAAUUUUAAAGAUAAUAAAUUAUUUUUAUUUAGGGGUUGUUUGUGAAUGUGAUAGUAGUUGCUGUUUAAAGUGUUUUUUAUUCAAAAAUAUAUCAAAAUAAUAUAUAUUUUUUAUUUUUUAAAAAAUUAUUUUUGAGACCAGCAUAUAAAAACAAUCUAAAAACAUAAAAAUUAAAUUUUAUCCUCCCUCCGUUUAAACCGCACUCCUAGAAGGGGGCUUAAUAUGAGAGGUCAUGUUACUCCGAACAUAAAGAGUGCUCAAUCAUUAAAAGCAAAUAAUAUCUUCACUCAUGAACACUCAACAAAAAAAAGUAAUAAAAAUUAUUAUUUUUAUAGAUAUAAAUUUAAUAGGUUUAAAAAAACCCAAAAAACUCGAAAAACAUCACCUUCAAGCUCGGGUCAGCAGCUACCAAGAUGCAUGCUACCUGGAUCCAAUUAAAUUUUUGGCUUGGACACGUGCCCCAACAACCUAUGGGCUCGGGCACGCUCCCCAAGGCCAACUUGUCCUUACCUAACUCUCCCUUUAUAAUUUUCUCAGGAUCUCAUGUUGGUCUCUUAGUUUUUUAUACUGAUCUAAUACAUAUUAUUUUGAGUUGAAUACAACACAAAAUAUCACAAUGGUAAAAUUACAUUUCAAUCCAUCAUCGCCACAAAAAAAUAAGACUAAUAAGCUAUAAAUAUAUCAUAAAUCCUUCAAUUAAAGAUUCGUAAUCUUUUUAUUCUUUACACUUUAAGUAUUUAUAUUUUCAAUUACUUUCCAGAGGCGUCUCUUUUAAAUAUUGAUUUAGAUGGUAAACCACUUUAUUUAUUGUAUUUAAUAUUGUAAUUCUCACCCUACCCUUCCUAAAAUAUCAAUUACUUUCUCUGUUUCAUAAAGAGAGUUUUAUUAAACUUCACACAAAUCAUUUCGUUUGCCACCCUAGUCUUUUGCAAUCUUUCUUCAAGACACUUCCAAUUUUCGAGAGAUAAAACUCAUAUUUUUUUUUAUCAUAUUUAUUUCAUUACAUUUUAAAAUUACAUGUAGUUGAAAAAAAAUGUGAAUUCAAUUUUAAAAGAAGUAAAAUAAUAAAAUUUGAUACUCUAUUCUUUUUAUUUAUGAAUAAAAACAUAAAGUUUCCAUAGGUUUAACAUAGUUUUGAAAAAAACACAUGUUAUUAAACUUUCCAUACCUGCGAACCAUGUCAACCAACCGAACUUAUGAACAGAUCCAUGGACUUUAUAAAGUUUAAUAACAUGUGUUUUUUUCAAAACUAUUUUUUUAACUAUACGAGAAAAAAAUAAAUCAUAAUAAACUCAAGUUCAAUAAAAAAAAAAAACACUUUGCCAAACCCAUAAACCAGAAUAACUGGGGUUACCCAAGUAAACCUGCAAAUUACUUUAACAAUAUAAAAAGACAAAUUGAAAUUAAAUAAAUUACAAGGUUAAAUUCUAAAUUAUUUUAAUAAAAUAAAUAAAAAUAAUUUUGAAAAAAAAAACGAUAAGCAAAGCGAGAGAAGAGAGAGCAUAUCAUGAAAUUUUUGCUAUAAAAAUAAUAAUAGCAAAGGCUAAAAGUUUUGUAUGCUUAAAGGAAAAGUGGACGAUGGACGACGUGGUUUUGUCCCACAGGUUGAAAAAAGGCUUGUGAUGAAAUCGUUUCAGCCUAGCUUAAGUUUAAUUUCCCAUUCUUCUGCUUGUCGUGCAUCUUUUAUUCCCCGAUCUAAACUCAACAGAACACUCAUUACCCAAAAAAAAAACAUACCCCUCCCCUGUCCCUUUCACUCGAAGGGUUAGUACGAGUUUCUUCACAGAUUGUUGAAAAUAUGAAGGAUAAUUGUUUUGUGACGACUGAUUGCGUCAUCAUUAAAAUAGGUAGAUUUAAAAUGUGUUAAUGAUUUUUUAAAAGUAUUUUUUAUUUAAAAAUAUAUUAAAAUUAUAUAUUUUUUUUAAAUUUAUUUUUAAUAUCAAUAUAUUAAAACCCUUUAAAAACAUAAAAUUAUUUUAAUUUAAAAUAAAAAUAAUUAAUUUUAAAAAAAAACACGGCAACCUGCAAUAGUUAACACUCCUAUAAUCUCGUGGACAUGUUGAGUGUUUUUUUUUUGGACUAUUAACUCGGUCGAGUUUGAACCGGAUCGGAUAACCUGAAUUAUUAAAAUCCUAUCAUAUAUAGUUAAAUGAGUUUUAUCGGUCAAAAUCUUGGUUAAUUCAACUAGUAACCUGAACCGAUUUUGAAUUUUGAAUUUCCUACAUUAAUCUAUCCGGUUGGCAAAGUUUUAUAACUAUGUAAAAAAAAUAAAAAAAAAUGCAGUACGAGCACUCCACUCGUAUAUAAAAGACACCGAAGGUUUGAACUUUGAUCACUGAAUUGAGGUGUUGCCAAUUGAACUUCAUUGGUACUUGUAGAAUAUGGCAGAUGAGAAGAAACAAAACCUGGAAAACAAACCUGUGUUGUCUCCACCUCUACCCGAGAGGAAGAAAAACACCUUACCAAACUUCCUUUUAUCUGUUCAGCUCAAAUAUGUGAAACUUGGUUACCACUACUUGGUUUCCAAUGCCAUGUACCUCAUGCUCAUGCCAGUACUUUGCGUGAUUUUUGCUCAUCUUUCAACAUUCACAGUUGAUGAGCUUUGGAAUCAACUCAAAUUCAAUUUUGUGACAGUAGUUCUUUCCUCAACCUCAAUUGUUUUUACUGCUACACUCUACUUCAUGAGCCGUCCAAGAAAAGUUUACUUGGUGGAUUUUUCAUGUUACAAGCCCGGACCAGCUCAUAAAGCAUCUAGAGAACUCUUCAUGCAGUUAUCUGCACAGUCCGCGGUUUUCACAGAGCAAAGCUUAGCUUUUCAAAAGAAAAUCCUAGAGAAAUCAGGCUAUGGUGAAAUGACCUACGCUCCAAAAGGCUUGAUGCGUGUCCCGCCAGACCAGUCCAUGGCUGAAUCCUGGAGGGAAUCAGAGAUGGUGAUGUUCGGAGCAAUUGAUGAUCUCUUGGCCAAAACAAUGGUGAAGCCUAGAGACAUAGGAAUACUUGUGGUGAAUAGCAGUUUGUUCAAUCCCACGCCGUCUCUCUCAGCUAGAGUUGUGAAUCACUACAAGCUUAGAGGGAACAUUUUGAGCUAUUAUCUUGGUGGUAUGGGCUGCAGUGCAGGACUUAUUUCUAUUGAUCUUGCCAAAGACCUUUUACAGGUUUGUUACUUCAAAUGGCAAACUUUUACGGUUUUUAAGGUCUGGUGGCUGGACCGGUCCGGGUUUAACAAAAGACCGGCUGUGGCAACAGCCCGGCCAAACCCGGGCGACCCAGGCGAACCCGGACGAGACCCGGUUUUUUUUUUUUUUUCCCUUCAAAUGUGGGAUUUGAAACACAUUAGUAUAUAUACUCUAUGUUCCCAAGAAAAAAGUCAUGUUUUUUCAAUGUGGGAUAAAAAACCUUUUGGUUUAAAUACUUCAACUUAAAAGGAUAACAUAGUAUUUUUUUCAAUGUGGGGUUUGAAGCCCUUUCAUAUAUAUAUAUACACUAUGUUCCCAUGAAAAAAACCAUGUCUUUUCAAUGUAGGAUAAAAAACAUUUUGGUUUAAAUACUUCAACUUAAAAGGAUAACAUAUUAUCUUUUCAAUGUGGGUUUGAAGCCCUUUCAUAUAUAUAUACACUAUGUUCCCAUGAAAAAAACCAUGUCUUUUCAAUGUGGGAUAAAAAACCUUUUGGUUUAAAUACUUCAACUUAAAAGGAUAACAUAGUAUCUUUUCAAUGUGGGGUUUGAAGCCCUUUCAUAUAUAUACACUAUGUUCCCAUGAAAAAAACCAUGUUUUUUCAAUGUGGGAUAAAAAACCUUUUGGUUUAAAUACUUCAACUUAAAAGGAUAACAUAGUAUCUUUUCAAUGUGGGGUUUGAAGCCCUUUCAUAUAUAUACACUAUGUUCCCAUGAAAAAAACCAUGUUUUUUCAAUGUGGGAUAAAAAACCUUUUGGUUUAAAUACUUCAACUUAAAAGGAUAACAUAGUAUCUUUUCAAUGUGGGAUUUGAAGCCCUUUAAUAUAUAUACUCCAUGUUUCCAUGAAAAAAGUUAUGUUUUUUCAAUGUGGGAUUUGAAACCCAUUAGUAUAUAUACUCUAUGUUUCCAAGGAAAAAGUUAUGUUUUUUCAAUGUGGGAUAAAAAACUUUUUUAGUUUAAAUACUUUAACUUAAAAGUUUAACAUAAUAUCUUUUUAAUAUGGGAUAAAAAACUUUUUAAAAUAUUCUUUUAAACUUCAUAAUAUGUAUAAUCUAUAUUUACAUGGAUUUUUUCAUAUGAAAUAUUAAAACUUUAUUUUUUUUUAAUUUUUCCGGGUUAAUCCAGGUUGACCCGAGUUGACCCGGGUUGACCCCUGAAACCCGGGACCCGGCCCCUUGGCCGGGUCAACCCCCGGGCCGGGUUUAAUAACUAUGUUAAAAAUACGAUAUAUUAAAGAUUACUCAAGCGUGUGUAUAAAUGCACAUGCUAUCUGGAGAGUGAAUUUAAAUUUAAAAGUAUUUAGCAUAUCAUUUAUGAAUAUCUCAUUAUGGGCCUUAGACAGCAUGAGUCUACCUUAAAAGAUUCAAGUACUAUCUAAACCUAAUUAUUAUGGGCUUUAAACAGCAUGAGCCCAUCUUAAACUAUAAAGAGGGCAUUUGGGGAAGGAAAGCAACAAGCCUCGUAAAACAAAAUAGAGGUUAGAUACAAGAAAAUAGAUUUUUCAAUAUUAGAGCUCAAAGGGAUCGUUCAACCACAUAGGCAUUUGUAAAUUAAAUUAAUGUCGAUAGUCUAUGGAUACAAAUGCACAACAUCAAGAUUACCUAAGUGUUAUAAAACAUUAAUUUAUAAAUCAUUAGCAACCGCCCAUUAAGCUAGUGAAAUGAAAUUUAAAUCAUUAAUUUUAAAAAAAUAAUGAUUUUAGAUUUUCUAAUAUGAUUGUGUUACUCUUAAAUAUAAGGAGAGCCCGAUCCUUGACAAAGAAUGAUAUAUUCACUCAUGGACAUUUGAAAAAAACAAAAAAGCUAUCUUUCUCGUAUUGGUUUAGGUGGUAAACCAGUUUAUUUUUUACCUCAUAUUUUUAGGUUUGAAUUCAAGAAAAAAUUACAAUAUUUUUAUAACAUGAUUUUAUAUAUCUUUUGUGAAUAUUAUAAAGUAAUUUACUUUAAAUAAUUAUAAUAUUUUCAUUCAAACCUAGCUUUUGGUCCAUAAUAUAUCAUCGAAACUUCAAAUAUCUAGCUUCGAACCAAUUGAUAAAACAGCAAAAUACCACUUAAAAUUAAAUAUACUAUAUAGAAUGCUUUUGGGAUUAAUUUACUUGUAACCGAACUCCAAAACUCAAAUUUUUAUUUUGUACGAUUGUCUUCAUGUAUAAGAAAAUUAAGUCAUUUUAAUAGUAAAAACCUUUAAGUACCCAACCACACUAGUACAAAUGAAUUAUUGGUGCCCACGCACAAUAUUUUUUAAAAAUGAUUUCUGAUGGGGUUCAAAUAUUUCAUCAUGAGAUUGUGGGUCAAGGAUUAUAUAUUAGAUAAUUGAUCAAUUUUCUAGCUAUGGUUAUCUGAUUAAUUUUUUCUAAUCAAAAUGGCUUGUGGCUAAUAUUUAAUCCCUGUAAAAGAUUUUUUUUGAUGAAUUUGAAGACUUCUAAAACUUAAGUAAGUAUAGUUGGAUAUAAAGUAAAAUUAUAUUUUAGAAAAGAAUUCCAAUAAUAAAUAUCUAAUAGGGAGUCCGGAAAAAAUUGAAACUUCUCUUGAAGGAUUUUCAUGGUCUUUUUUAUAGCACAUAUGACUUGUCUCUUUUUGAAUGGAAGGUGUCAAAGUAAAAGUAAAAUAUUUUUGACUCGUUAGGGAGUAAAAUAUCUUUGACUCAUGGUCUAAUAAUAGAAUCUAAGAUUCUAAGCGUAAAAAAAGAGCAUGGGUUCAACGCUUGGUUGAAUCUAAAAAUAAUAAAUCUGGUAGCUCGCCGGACCUAUAUAUAUCUGAGCUCAACACUUAACUAAGUUAAAAAUAUUGAUUUAUCACCUUAUCUUUAGUCAUUUUUUAGAAAAGACAAUUAAGAUAAAAAUAAAAUACGCUCGUGAAAAAUAACACUUCUUGAAAAAAAUCCAUUUAACUCUUCUAGAGAAGACAUUACAUGCAUUAAUAUAUACUAGAUAUUUGGCCCGCAUUUACAGUAGUUUAGAUUUUUUUUUCUCAAUAAAAAAAUUUAUAGACUUUUUCAACAUGUUUUUUAUUUUAAAAAAAUUCUAAGUGAAAAUCAAAAUAUUUAUACAUAUAUGCAAUCAAAUAAAUUGAGAACUGUGUAUAUUAAUAAGUGAAAAAAAAAACAACCAUAAACGAUGACUAAAUAUAAAAACUGGAAAAAUUGAAAGACAUGUAUAGAUCAAAAUAUUUAAUUUUGCAAGAUGUGACAUUUAGGCGGUUGUGUUUGCUAAAUAUAUUAAUUAAAAUAAUUUUUUUAUCCAAUCAAACGAUAAUAAAAAUAAACACACAUAUUAAAUUGAUUGAAUAAAAUAAAAGAAAAAAAAUAAUAUGUAAAGUUGUACAUAUUAUAAAUAUUAUUUGAAAAUAAAUUUCUUUUUAUUUUCAAAAAUAAAUUUCAUCUAUACAAAAGAUUAAAAAAAUAUAGAUUAAUCAUAAAAACCUCAUCAAGAAUUAAAUGUAUAACUAAAAAAUAAUUAUCAUUUCAAAUAGGCUUUCCAAAUAACAUAAAAGAGAGAAGAGAUAUUAAUCUAAAUAAAAUUAAAAAUAAAAAUAAAAUUAAGAUUAAUAUUAAUAUUAAUUUUAAAAAAUAAAAAAAAAAAAAUAUAUUUUUUCUUUAACAAAAAAAAAGAGUAAAUAGUGUCGUCCACAUUAAAACUUGUGGGGUGAACCCAGACCAUGAACUCAACCGGUUUUUUCCCCUUAAAUUUAUGGCAAACCUAAAACAAAGUGAACAAUAUUGUCCAUGGUAAAACAUAAGGGGAUGAACAUUGCGGCUGCACAGUAUUUACCUCACACAUUUUCCCCUUAAAUUUAUAGAAAAACCUUAAAAAAGAAAACAAUGACUAGUGUCGUCCACAGUAAAACGCGAGGGGGUGAACAGUGUGUCUGUAUAAUGUUCACAACACACGCUUUAGUUUAUUUAAGGUGAACCCGAAUUAUGAAUUCAAUCGGGUUUAAUAUUUACCCCCCUCAAAUUUAUACCAAACCUAAAAAAAAUAAACAAUGUCGUCUAUAGAUGAGGGGGCGAACAAUGCGACUGUACACCCCACAUGCUUUAUAUAUAUAUGAAAAAUGGGAAAAACACUAUGGACUUGCAUAUUAUUUUUCCCACGCAGUUUAGAUUAUACUAAAUAGAUUGCCUGCACGUUGCUGCAGGUUACUUUUAGAAACAUGCGCUGCUUUUAAUUAUGAGACAAUUGAAAAAAAAAGUGUUUUCUAAGCAUGCAACCAAGAGCAGAUAACAUUAAAAAUGUAUAUGAUUUACUUUCAAGCAAUGAAUAAGUAGCAUGCAAAAAACUUGCAUAAACUGUCUCGAAUUUCAUAUAAAAAUCAAAUUGUAAAAUAUAAAGAGAAAUCAAUCUAACAUAGACAUUGUUUGAACAACUCAAAACAAAAGGUGGCAUGAUAUAUAUAUAUCGAAAAACUUAUGCACGACUCUAAUUAAACAACCUAAUAAACAUUGUGUAAAUUAAUGACAAAAAAAAUCAUAAACAAUAAAUAAAAAAAAGAUGACUUGAGAAACCCAAGCGAAAAAUAAAGAUAAAGAUAUCUCACAUCACAACACAGGUAAUUUACUUGGUCAUGUUUAAUAAAUUUCUCUAUCAAAAUAAGUUUGUAAUAGAAAAACAAAUAAAAUUUGUAAUAGAAACCGACACACAUAAAAUUUAUUGAACAAUAUAUAUAUAAAAAGAAUAUUGCAAAGCUACAUAUAUUAAAAAUCUUAUAAAAAAUCAAUAUUAAAAAUAAUCUAUAUAAAAUUAAGAAAAAACCAAAGAUGAAUCAUACUCACCUCUCUAAAAACGAAAUACACCCAAUAUCAUUUAAAAAUAAUCACAAUCUAAUUAAAACAUAAACCAAAAAUUUAUUUGGAAAAGUAUGCACAAAUGAUGCAUUAUUUAAAAAAAACAAAAAAAAAGUAUAUAUGUAUAUAUAAAAGAACUAGGCCAGAAGCUUGUAGGUCUAGUAAGCUAGGCCCGACGCCUAGCCUAAUGAACCAACAGCCUGCACUUGGGCCUGCAAUGUCAGGCCUAAACACAUGCCCUUUUUUAAAGUUUAAUGGGGUGGACAACGCGUCGUUCGCCCCAAAUAUUUCAAAAAAAUAAUGCGUCGCUUACUCCAUCUUAGAAUACGGCCUUUGUGAUGGCUGGAAGAACAAGGUCUGUCGUUUUUUCACCCAAAAAUCUCAUUUUCAACCUAUUUUUUACCCAAAACACAUAGAAAUAGGGGUGAUUAUUUUCAGUUCGGUUCGAUUUUUAUCAAAAAAAGUAACCAAACCGGUUUUUUGAAAUACCAAAACCGGUUCAAACCGACCGAUUUCAAUUCGAUUCGGUUAUUUUAGAACAAAAACCGGUUCAAACUGACCCGUUUCAGUUUGGUUUGGCUCUGUUUUUUCUGAUUUGGCUCGGUUUUUGGUUUGGGUUCGGCUCGGUUUUUCAGUUUUAGGCUUAUAAAACCAAACCGAACCAGUUGGUUUUUUAAAAAUUCUAAUUAGUUUUUUUUCACGGUUCGGUUUUUUUGGUUUUUUUGCUCAUUCCUACCUAGAAAACACCAUAGAGACCUUGUUAAACCAAUCUAUUGCAACAAAAAAGCCAAAAAACCACCACAAAAUCCACUCGAAACAAAAAUUCUUCCCGAGCUCAGAUUUGUUGUUUUAGGUGCUUUAAAGGUAAAAACAAAUACAUAAACGUAACCCCCUCAUCAUAUGAAAUCUUUUGACACAAAAAUCAACCAUUUUAGUUAUCAGAAUCUUCCCCAAUAGCUACUUUCUCUCUCUAGACCGGAAUCCGAGGACUCCCUCUCUCUCCUCUCAACAAAAAAAGACUGAAAAAAGAGGAAAAUGAAGUUAGGUAUCAAAGUGUAUUAUUUUGAAAUAUAAGGUACCAAUCACUUUAUACCAAAAAAAUAUUGGGGAUUAAAAUGAAUGUUUCAAUGAAACUUUCAACCCUCUCCCAAUGCUACCCGAGAUUUUCACUUUAGUCCCUUAGCUUUCAAUUCAAUCCUCCUUCCUAUAAAAAUACAAUCGAAGGCUAAUUUAGGCUCCAAAAAUCCAAAUCACGCAAAAUAAAAGUUCAGAGAUUAAAGUGAAAAUUUUCAAAAAUUACAUUGUUCUAAUCCACAGCAGGUUAUGAAAUAGUGCACAGUGUUUUAGCUAAUGUAAAAAGCUAAUGCCUUUUAGUUUUGUACUAGUUAGGUGGCCCGCUCUACGUUGCGAGCCAACAUUUUUUUGGCAUAAAAAAUAUAUAAAAAAAUAAGACCCAAGAGCCUUGGGUCUAACUGCAGCGUUAGACCCAAGAGAAUUGGAUUUGGGUCUGGUUGCACCGUCAAACCCAAGAGCUUUGGGUGCAGGACUGGCAAGAGCCUUGAGUCUGGCUACAACCCCGGACCCAUGAGUAAUUUUUAUAAUAUUAAUUAUAAUACCAAUAGUAAUAUUUAUAAUACAAAUAAUAAAUUUUUAAUAUUAAUAAUAAUAUUAAACUUGUUUGGCCCAAGUUCUUAUAGUUUUUAAUCCCUUUAAAUCAAAUUUAUGGUUUUUCUUUAAUCUUAAACGCCAGACCCAGGAGCCUUGGAUCCGGAUGCUAGACCCAAAAGCUGCGGGCCCGAACACCAGAUCCAAGAGCCAUGGGUCGAUCUGCAAGGCCAGGCCCAAGAACCUUGGGCAGGUUGCAACGCCGAACCCAAGAGCCUGAACAACUUGGGCUUGACGCGCCUUUUCAGCCCCAAGUUAAUUAGGUCUAGAAGGGGAUGUCAAACUCAAGUUAAUAAUGAAAAUAAUAAUAAUAAUUUAUUUUACCCUUCAAAUCAAAUUUAUGUUUUUUUUAUAAUAAUAAUAUAUUUUUUAAAAUUUAAUAAUAUUAAUGAAUAUAAUAAUAUUUGUAAUAUUAAUAAUAAUAUUAAACUUGUUUGACCCAAAUUUUUAUAGUUUUUAAUCUCUUCAAAUAAAAUUUAUGGUUUUUCUUUGAUAGUAAUAAUAUUUUUUUCCAAAUUUAUUAAUGAUAAUACUCAUUUCUGGACCCUAUGUUUGCUGGAAGAUUGACAAAAGCAAAUGAAAGAAAUAUUUUUUCGAAACCCUGUUUGAGCUGUUUUCUGCUCUCUUUAUCCUUCCCCUUUGCUGCCAAAAUCAUCAGGUUUUCUUAGAUUGAUCAGAAGUCUUCAUAAUGCCAAAUUCAUUCCUUUUUUAUCUGGUCUUUAAAGUUGAAAAAAUCCCUCAGAAUUUGCAUAAAAAAAUGGUUCUGUUGUUGUCGCAAUUUUUUGUUCCAACUUAGGCUCUGAUUCUGACUCGGUUUCGUACGAUAUCUGACCAUCCUAGGUAUAUUCUGUCACUCAUGAUAUGUUAAAAAAUUGGCGUACACCUUUAUUAGGUCCUAGGGAUCAUUGUUCUUAGGGAAAAUUCUCAGUCAGAUUCGGAUGCUCAGCAUCGUCAGAUCAAGAACCUUUUUGACCAACUAGAUUACUAGCAGAUUCUGUUCUCUAAAAUGAUUUUAUCUCACUUCAACUCCUUCAUCAAAUUUGUAGUCCGGGACACGUAGAUGAAUUUGAGCUUUUGAAUUGUUUGAUUCCGAUAUCAGAAACUCAAGAUAUUCCUGUUUGAAAUCUAGCGUGAAAACAUAGAAUCUUGUCGCGAGAAGGUUUCCAGCCGAGUUUGGUUGCAAUUCUGUUAUUCAAAACGAAUUUAUCUCACUUUGAAUCCUUCAUUUAAGUUGUAGUCCGGGACACGUAGAUGAAUUUGGGCUUUUUGAAUUGCUUGAUUUCAAUAACAAAAGCUCAAGAUAUUCCCAUUUGAAUAUCUAGUGUUGAAAGCAGGGAUUCCUGACCGCGAGAAGGAUUUUUGCCCAAGUUCACAGGACUGAUUCGAAGGAUUUUUUUUAACCAAGGACUGAAUCAAAAUGUGCUAAAUUGAGGGAUUGAAUUGAAGAAGGACAUUGAAAGCUGGAGAGGGGGGCUGGAUCAUCAUAAAUGACAGGAUUUUUACCACACCGAAUAAGGAAAAUAGGACUUUGCAGCUGCACCCUCCAUCUAAUUUCUUUCCUUUUUUUUUCUCUGCUGUUUUCCUUUCUCAUCACGCCUGAUUUUUGGAGCUGAAGACCACGUUUUUGUUGCCUCAUUUCAAAGGGAGCAGCUAGCCCUAUGGAAGGAAAGAAAAGAGCCACACCAUCCUCUAACUAGGAAAGAAAUCACUGCUGAUCACAAAAUCAGAAUCAAACAUUCUGGUUUCCUAUUUCUGCUCACCCGAGAAUACACCCUAGAGUUAAUGUAAUAUUUGUUUCCUAAAUAAAGCUGUGUAUAGGCUAUAUAGAAGCCUCGGCUGCUGACCUAAAGGUGGGGGGGAAACGCAGAAAAGAGAGAGCAUAAAAAGGAGACAAAAAACGGAAAAAAAAAUAGCAGCAAAGAGAGAGCAGAAAAGAGAGGAGAGGAUAGAGAAAACACGGCAAAAGAAAGAGAAGGAAAACGCAAGAGAGGCAGGCGACGGGGAAACCAGUCAUUUACCAGCACAUAGCUGAAAUAUUUUGUCCGUUUCAGCAUCUCUAUUUUCGUCUGUCAUUUACCAGCAGCCAAGGAGGCACGCGUGAGCUGUGUCUUUCGGCCUUGGGUUUUAUUUUCUGCAAACAGGAGCUGCAGUUUGAAGGAACACGCAAGAGAGGCAGGCGACGGUAUUCAAGGAAGAACGCGUGAGCUGUGAUUUUUUUGGUCCCUGGUUUCAUUUUCUGCAAACAGGAGCGGCAUGUAUAAGCCCCAAUCUCUCCUCCUUUGUUAUUUUUAUACUAAGCAUUCGGUUGUAAAGCUUUUCUUCCUUCUGAAAUAAUUGGUUUCUGUUUAGAAAAACCAACGCUUGCCUCUUAUUUUUUUCAUGAUUUUUGAGUUCAGUUGCUACCCAUGUAAAAAAGGUUUUUUCUUUCAUGUUUAGGAACUUUUACAUUUAGGGACUUUCCUUUUGUUUUCCUUACACCCGUUGGAGAAGAAAUCAGCCGGUCUUUGUUUUUUUUUUAGUGAUUUCUCCCAGUUUUUUUUUUUGUUUUUAUUCUGGCUAUCUGCGCAUUAAGUUGGCUUUGAAAUUUUUAUUAUUAUUGCUUUAAGCUUAUUAUAAAUCUUAGAAUAUAUAUGUAACAUCCCCCAUUUCUGGGAUAAAACAACAAUCUCAUGUCAAUAGAAAAACAUAGUACUUAAAAAAAAAAAUUCUUUUUUUUUUGUAUAUACAUAUUCAUGGUCUUCGUAUUAACAUCUACCGGAAUUUCGACGGAGUCCCCCCUAUACCGGAAGGUCCCAAAUUACCGAUAUGUAACUUGUUUACACUUCUAACAGUUCGCAUCUCAUAACUUAAUUCCCGACCCAAUCAUCCUGGGUUUCAAUUCCACAAUUAUACUCACACCUAUCAACUAUAAUAUUUAUGAUAUGCAUUAUAUAACAAAAAUAUCAUUAUGGAUGGAUAAUUUAAAUAAAUAUAAAUACAUAGACAUGAAAUAUAGUUAUAUAAACUACAGCGUUAAAUUCAUCCAAUCAAGUUUAAAUAUUUAUUAUACAAAUUAAGUUAUACAAACAUUUUCAUGUUUACAAAAUACAAGGGUAUACUCCCUAGAACCUAGAUUUCAAGAAGGGAACAUAAGCUAAGAUCUACUCCUGUCGUGCAUGCGAUGAUCCUGAAACAAAAUACAUAUUAUUGCAAGGUGAAUAUCACAAUAAAUAUAACAAUAUGAAUAUCUAAUAAUUUCAACAGGGUAACAUGCAUUCAUAUUUCAUUUACUUCUCCCUUCUAGUUUUUUUUUUUAUUAAAAUCUCUUCCUUAUUCAAACUAUUAAUAACCGUUCCCUCUGCCACUAUCAACCUUCAUUCCAAACCUUAUAAGAUCAACGUGAUUACUUUUGCAAUUUCACUGGUAUCGUCAUCACCACCCCAUAGGAGUCGAUAUAAGGCGAUCCCUUUACUCGGGAUCCUAACAUACACUAAAUGUAUGCUGGCCAAUACAUGGUGAUCCCCUUACCCGGGAUCCUAACAUACACUGAAUGUAUGUUAGCCAAUACGUGGAGAUCCCCUUACCCGGGAUCCUAACAUACACUAAAUGUAUGCUAGUCCAUUCGUGACGAUCCCCUUACCCGGGAUCAUAACAUACACUCAAUGUAUGCUAGACAAUACAUCGUGAUCCCCUUACCCGGGAUCCUAGCAUACACUCAAUGUAUGCUAGUUUAUGCCUCAAAUCACACUUCUCAUAUUUCCUUUGUCAGUGAUAAUUUCAUCACUUGGCAAUUCACAUAACAACUUUUCACCUUGAAUACACAUACAUUCAGUAAUUCACAUUUCACAUCAAAAAAUAUAUUAAAUCAUGGAAUUUAACUAGAAAGCAUAGGUGUGAAUCACCUACCUGCAAUAGAAGUUCUACUCGUGCUCCCCUGUUGCUGCUGUUGCACCACGUCUGUGGUCCCUCCUGCAAAUCACAGGUUUAUCUCAUAAAUUUUCCUCACUCAAGGAUAUGUUAUAUAAUAACCAUAUCAACAACCAAUAAGUCUUUCUUUCAGUCAUUUCUUAGUACUUUAUGUUUUUCUCAUUUCACUCAUUAUUACUGUCGUUCUUUGUCCAAUCCUAGUUAUCAUUCCUUUCUUUAUAUUUGGACUAUCACUAUCCAACUAUUACUGUCCAUUUUUGAACUGAAACUGUCUAACCUCUCCUUAGAUUUUUAACUAUAUCUGGAGUUAUAGAACUUCGAUUCAAGCAAAAUUUAUGGCGUUGGAAAGGUAAGACAUGAGGCUACAAGUUCUAUGUUUUGAGAAGAACCGAGUUCUACCUCUAAGAUAGUCAAAAUCGCUCAUUAACAAACACUUGGACUGUUACUGUCCAACUGUUACUGUCCAUUUUUGAAUUGUUACUGUCUGACCUCUCCUUAGAUUUUUAACUAUAUCUGGAGUUAUAGAACUCCGAUUCAAGCAAACUUUGUGGCGUUGGAAAGGUAAGACAUGAGGCUACAAGUUCUAUGUUUUGAGAAGAACCCAGUUCUACCUCUAAGAUAGUCAAAAUCUCUCAUUAACAAACACUUGAACUAUUACUGUCUGACCUCUCCUCAGAUUUUUAACUAUAUCUAGAGUUAUAGAACUCCGAUUCAAGCGAAAUUUAUGGUGUUGGAAAGGUAAGACAUGAGGCUACAAGUUCUAUGUUUUGAGAAGAACCCAGUUCUGCCUCUAAGAUAGUCAAAAUCGCUUAUUAACAAACACUUGGAUUGUUACUGUCCAACUGUUACUGUCCAUUUUUGAACUGUUACUGUCUGACCUCUCCUCAGAUUUUUAACUAUAUCUGGAGUUAUAGAACUCCGAUUCAAACUAAAUUUAUAGAGUUGGAAAGGUAAGACAUGAGGCUACAAGUUCUAUGUUUUGAGAAGGACCCAGUUCUGCCUCUAAGAUAGUCAAAAUCGCUCAUUAACAAACACUUAGACUGUUACUGUCCAUUUUUGAACUGUUACUGUCUGACCUCUCCUCGGAUUUUUAACUAUAUCUGGAGUUAUAGAACUCCGAUUCAAGCGAAAUUGGUGGCGUUGGAAAGGGAAGACAUGAGGCUACAAGUUCUAUGUUUUGAGAAGAACCCAGUUCUGCCUCUAAGAUAGUCAAAAUCGCUCAUUAACAAACACUUGGACUGUUACUGUUCAACUGUUACUGUCCAUUUUUGAACUGUUACUGUCUUAUUUUUGAACCGUUAUUGUCUAAACAUUGAACUGUUACUGCCUAGACAUUGAACUGUUACUGUCUUUUUUUUAAACCGUUACUGUCUAGACAUUGAACUGUUACUGUCCAACUGUUACUGUCUAAACAUCGAACUGUUACUGUCUUGUUUUUGAACUGUUACUGUCUGACCUCUCCUCAGAUUUUUAACUAUAUCUGAAGUUAUAGACUCCGAUUCAAGUGAAAUUUAUGGCGUUGGAAAGGUAAGACAUGAGGAUAUAAGUUCUAUGUUUUGAGGAGAACCCAGUUCUGCCUCUAAGACAGUCAAAAUUGUUCAUCAAUGAACCAGACCUACUACCCUAUAGGGUCUGUCAUGACCCAGUCUCGGUUGGUGACCCAUAACUGGAGUUCUAUGACUCCAAAUUGAGCAAGACCAAUUUCAUUAGUUAGUAAACAUCCAAAACUACAAUUUCUAUGAAGGAACUUGAUCCUAAUUCCUUCAUUCUCCUACCCAAAAUCUCUUUGAAGGUCAAGAGACGAAACUGUCCAGAUUCAUCAACCUUUCCAUUUACACACAACACAUGAAGUUCUUUACUUUAACAACUCUUACUUUUUCCUCAAUUCAAGUCUAAGAACUCAAUAUAUAAAUUAACAUCCAGGCUUCAAUUCAUAAUCGACUUGAAAUGACUCAUAAGACCAGGUUUAGAAUAUCUUACCUGGUGCGAAUCAAGGCUUCGAUCCCUCCUUUUCUUUCUAAUGACAGCCGACCCUCCCCUCUUCUCUUCUUGUUCAAUUUUUUUCUUGUUAAUCCCUUUCCCACCAGGGUUUAUUUUACCUAUAACCCUCAAUCUGGGAUGGGUUCUUGAAAUUUUGGUGUUUCUCUCUUGAUUUGUAAAAAUAGAUAUAAAAACUCCCUCUUUUCUUUCUUUACGUAGCUGCAGAUCUGUUUUUGGUGAGAAUAGGAGUAUUUAUGCUCUAUAAUUAUUCUUAUUUGCAUUUAGGCCCCAUUUUCUUUAAGUGUAUUCGUUCUUGCCCCCACUUCUUUUUAGUUUAGUUUAUUUUCUUUAAUUUAAUCCAGCCUUGGUUUUUCUCGGGAUUUACAAUAUAUGACGGCUUUUAGCUUUUAUUGCGAUUUUUCUUUUGUGUUUAAUUGCGUUGCUUGUGUUUUCGAUAAAAAAAUAUAAAAAAAUGUUUUUUGUGUGUUGCAUACGGCCAAUACCCUAACAUAUUUUAAACUUUUUUUUAUAUACAAAAAAUAUUGGAAGUUUUGAAAAUGUGUUUUCGCAUGGAUUUCUUAAACACAACAAAAAAAUUGUUUUCUUGCAUUUCUGGAUUUUACAACAUGUUUUUAAAACUCCAAAGGGUAUUGGCCAAUAUUCUAAAAAAUAUAAAAAUCUUAUUUUGGGGGGAAUUUAUCUAUUAUUCACCGCUAAUGUUUGGAUAAAGAAAUCCUUAAAGGACGAAUAUCCAAAAUAUUAUUGGGAAUAAUUUGUUAUUAUUCACUGUUAAUAUUUGGAUAAAGAAACCCAGAGUGGUAAAUAUCCAAAAUAAUUUUCUAGAAAUAAUAAAUCCGCACACAUCCUUGAAAGAAGCCUUGAUUAUAAUCGAGGACAUUUCAAUUUUUUUUUUACUCCACGGUUUACAAACCGUGAGAGUAUAAAACACUAAGGAAAAAAUAGGCAUUUAAAGCACCCUAGAUUUCUAAAUUUUUUGUCCCUCCUCCUUGCGAUUUACGAGUUGCAAACUCUUGAAAUACCAAGGGAAAAAUGAGUUUUUAAAGCACAUGAAAUCUCCUUGGAUUUCUGUCUUAAUAAAUUUAGUUAGAAACUUAGAAAAACUGAUGGGAUUAGAAAACACCAACACCAUAGCAAUUAUAAGACAAACUAAACACCAAGCAGCUUACCUUAGGUAGGGCGUACUAGGGGUGCUAAUACCUUCCCUUUAUGCAACCAGUCCCUUGCCUUAGAAUCUCUGAAAGACCAGUUAGGUUUCCUAGUGACCAUAAUAUUAGGUGGCGACUCCCUUAUUCACAAUAAAACAAAAGCCCCGAAAUCAAUCGAGGGUUCGCCACGACGUCGCGCUCCGCCGCGAGGGUGCGACAAUAAUAAUAGUUAUAUUAAACUCGUCUGACCCAAGUUCUUAUAGUUUUUAAUCCCUUCAAAUCCAAUUUAUGUUUUUCCUUUAAUAGUAUUAAGAUUUUUUUUUCAAAUUUAUUAAUGAUAAUAAUAAUAAUUUUUAAUUUUACCCAUCAAAUGAAAUCUAUGGUUGUUUUUCAAUAUUAAUAAUAUUUUUUCAAAUUUAUUAAUUAUUAUAUUAAUAAUAUUAAUUAUAAUAAUAAUAUUUUUAAUAAUAAUAAUAUUAAUAUUAAAUUUGUCUAACUCAAGUUUAAGUAGAUUCAGCUGCAAUGUCAGGCCCAAUGGUAUGACAGUCAUGCCUAAUCUCAGCGUCAGGUGUCUGAUAGUCAUACCAUACCCCAACGCCUAGGGCUUGAUAACCUUAUCAUGCCCUAGUAAAAUCCGAACUGAUCAUUUUAUUCUUAAUUAUUUUUUUAAUACCAAAUACAUCUAUAGAAAAGAACAAUUCUACCCUCCAUUACAUGCUUAACAAGGUGUUUUUUUUAAGUAAGAACAAGUCCAUCAUUAUAUUAUUACAGUCGAAGUAAUCUGUAUCUAGAUAACUAGUAAGAGGGUCCAAAGUGAUUAUAAUAUAUUGAAUAAUAUAAUAUAAUUUUAGGUAAUAUUUACACGAAACAGCUGAAAUAGUCCCCCCUUACUGCUACCAGGACCGAGCCACAGCAGGACUGGACCAUGCGGGUAGAAUAAAUAAGGAUCGAUUUCUUCGGCAAGCCUGUUGUCGGCAGUGAAGAACUACCAAAGUCUUUGAAUGAAUUGACAGUCCUAGGCAUGUCCAAGAAACAAACUUACCAGGACGUAUUUAUUGAAAGAAAAGAAAACGUGGACGGUGGACGGUGGACGGUGGACGAUGGACGAUGGACGACGUGGUUUUGUCCCACAGGUUAAAAAAAGGAUUGUGAUGAAAUCGUUUCAGCCUAGCUUAAGUUUAAUUUCCCAUUCUUCUGCUUGCCGUGCAUCUUUUAUUCCCCGAGCUAAACUCAACAGAACACUCAUUACCCAAAAAAAAUAAACAUACCCUUCCCCUGUCCCUUUCACUCGAAGGGUUAGUUCGAGUUUCUUCACAGAUUGUUGAAAAUAUGAAGGAUAAUUGUUUUGUGACGACUGAUUGCGUCAUCAUUAAAAUAGGUAGUUUUAAAUUGUGUUAAUGGUUUUUUUAAAGUAUUUUUUAUUUGAAAAUAUAUUAAAAUUAUCUAUUUUUUUAAAUUUAUUUUUAAUAUCAACAUAUUAAAACCAUUUAAAAAACAUAAAAUAAAUUUAAUUCAAAAUAAAAAAAUUAAUUUUUUAAAAAAGCACGGAAACCUGCAAUAGUUAACACUCCUAUAAUCUCGUGGACAUAUUGAGUGCUUUUUUUUUGGGCUAUUAACUCGGUCGAGUUUGAACCGGAUAACCUGAAUUAUUAAAAACCUAUCAUAGCUAAAUGAGUUUUAGCUGGUCAAAAUUGGUAAAUUCAACUAGCAACCUGAACCGAUUCAAGCUUUGAAUUUUGAAUUUUGAAUUUCCUACAUUAAUCUAUCCGGUUGGCAAAGUUUUAUAACUAUGGUAAAAAAUAAAUAAAAAAUGCAGUAAAAGGUACACCACUCGUAUAUAAAUGACACCGAAGGUUUGGACUUUGAUCACUGAAUUGAGGUGUUGCCAAUUGAACUUCAUUGGUACUGGUAGAAUAUGGCAGAUGAGAAGAAACAAAACCUGGAAAACAAAUCUGUGUUGUCUCAACCUCUACCCGAGAGGAAGAAAAACAACUUACCAAACUUCUUUUUAUCUGUUCAGCUCAAAUAUGUGAAACUUGGUUACCACUACUUGGUUUCCAAUGCCACGUACCUCAUGCUCAUGCCAGUACUUUGCGUGAUUUUUGCUCAUCUUUCAACAUUCACAGUUGAUGAGCUUUGGAAGCAACUCAAAUUCAAUUUUGUGACAGUAGUUCUUUCCUCAACCUCAAUUGUUUUUACUGCUACACUCUACUUCAUGAGCCGUCCAAGACAAGUUUACUUGGUGGAUUUUUCAUGUUACAAGCCCGGACCAGCUCAUAUAGCAUCUAGAGAACUCUUCAUGCAGUUAUCUGCAGCGUCCGAGAUUUUCACA